UGUAAUAGUGCGAUCAAUUACCACUGCUUCAAAGUUGAUAUGUUUGUGGGUGUCAUUGCUUGGCAAAUCAGUGAGCUGAAUGGCAAAUUUGAUGAGGUAAACACGGAGCUACUUUCUUGCAUGACAACAUUCUGUCCACUUCAUCUAUUUGCUGCUUAUGACCAAUAGAAGUUGGUUAGGCUUGCUACAAAGUUUUAAUCCUUCUGAUUUUACAAGUGAUGAACUAGAAACACUUCAAUGGCAACUAAACAUGUAUGUUACUAAUGUGCACAGAGAUGUAAGGUUUCAAAAACCUGAAAAAUCUGUGUCAGCUUUCAGUUAUGCUUGUUGAGACAAACAAACAUGAACAAUAUCAUAUUGUCUGUAGCUACUGCUAGUGUUGAAAGAGUAUUCUCUUCAAUGAGCCAUGUGAAGAAUAAGCUAAGGAACAAAAUGGGUGAUGAAUAUUUGAGAGAGAUUUUUUUAUUCAAAUGAAGGAUGAAGAGUUAUAUAACAAUAUCAUGAAUCUCUUUCAAAAAGGCGACCACAGAGUUAUAUUGUAAGAAAGAUAUCAUCACUUUAUCAAUCAAAAGUACUUAUGUAUUCAUGUCGUCGCCACUGCGCACCGCUCCUAACCCGUGACCAACUUGUUUCGCUGACAACCGCGCACCCUGCCCCAGCUGGCCGCGAGCAUCGCAUGCUAGCCAUCGCCGUGCCGCACGUGUGGCGCCUCUGCCGCCCCAGAUGCAUGAUCUCCGCCCACUUCAGUGAGAGACAUCGCGAGCGCUGCCGCGCGUGACGGAUGCGCACUGCAUGGGUCGGCUCAUGAUCCUGGUCUUUUGUCUCCUGGUCUUUUGUCUCCCGCCGUUGUCGAACAGAUUCAACUCUACCAGAGUAGCCUUGGCGCUGUCGUUAUUGCCGUCCGCGGAGGAGAUGGGUGUGGUGAUCUGACGAGGAUAACUUAAUGGCAUCGAGACCCAACAGUGCUCGUUCUUGUUGCCGCCGUUCAUGUAGUUCCUACUGCCGUUGCUCGGCACUUCGGGUUUUCCACCGCCUCCACAUCUCGGUGCUCCUCGGCGACUAGGCCAGGAUGAGCGAAACGACUUCCAAAUCCCAAUCCGCGAAACCUAGCAGAUCCGUGUGUGUUUUGUUUCCAAUCUGUAAUCGUGCAAGUGGGUAGGUGGGAAUCAUCAGGUAUGUCGGUUUGGUGGAGAAAACAAGAGAGUUUGUAUCAUGUUUGGUUUUUUGAUUGUGAUGUGGAAGCCGUGAAAAAAACAACUGAAAUAGUAAAACAUAAAAUAGUAUGACGGACUAAGAAUACCUAUUUCUUUUAUUAGUAUAUAUAUAUAUAUAUAUAUAUAUAUAUAUAUAUAUAUAUAUAUAGANNNNNNNNNNNNNNNNNNNNNNNNNNNNNNNNNNNNNNNNNNNNNNNNNNNNNNNNNNNNNNNNNNNNNNNNNNNNNNNNNNNNNNNNNNNNNNNNNNNNGAAUUCUUUUAAAUCAGAAAAUCUUUACUGCAUCAGCAUGACAUCAGCAGGUCCAACUAGCCGUUGAAAGUCAAACCUGACCAAUGGGACCCACUAGUCAGUGACUCUGGUCAGUUUUAGAUUAGUUUUAAACUUAAUUAGCUAAUUAACAGUACUGGACCCACAUGUCAGUGACUUAUUAGAUUAAUUAACUUUAUUUUUAUUACUCCAAAACUUCGAGAGGCUGGCCCCACGCGUCAGUGGCUCAGGCCAGCUAAGAUCCACCGGCGGCGAGGUCGUCCUCGCCGGCGGCGAGCCUCCGACGACCACCAGUAUGGCGGAGGGGCUCGGAAACGGCGCACAGGCGGCCAAACUUUGCACGGAGUGCACCAGAGGAACGACACGACUCCCACAGGUUCAUUUUUGGACUUUGUCGGUGUUGGAAUUAUGCCCUAGAGGCAAUAAUAAAUAUAGUUAUUAUUAUAAUUCCUGUAUCAAGAUAAUAGUUUAUUAUCCAUGCUAUAAUUGUAUUGAAUGAAGACUCAUUUACAUGUGUGGAUACAUAGACAAAACACCGUCCCUAGCAUGCCUCUAGUUGGCUAGCCAGUUGAUCGAUGAUAGUCAGUGUCUUCUGAUUAUGAACAAGGUGUUGUUGCUUGAUAACUGGAUCACGUCAUUAGGAGAAUCACGUGAUGGACUAGACCCAAACUAAUAGACGUAGCAUGUUGAUCGUGUCAUUUUGUUGCUACUGUUUUCUGCGUGUCAAGUAUUUAUUCCUAUGACCAUGAGAUCAUAUAACUCACUGACACCGGAGGAAUGCUUUGUGUGUAUCAAACGUCGCAACGUAACUGGGUGACUAUAAAGAUGCUCUACAGGUAUCUCCGAAGGUGUUAGUUGAGUUAGUAUGGAUCAAGACUGGGAUUUGUCACUCCGUAUGACGGAGAGGUAUCUCGGGGCCCACUCGAUCAUACAACAUCACACACAAGCCUUGCAAGCAAUGUAACUUAGUGUAAGUUGCGGGAUCUUGUAUUACGGAACGAGUAAAGAGACUUGCCGGUAAACGAGAUUGAAAUAGGUAUGCGGAUACUGACGAUCGAAUCUCGGGCAAGUAACAUACCGAAGGACAAAGGGAAUGACAUACGGGAUUAUACGAAUCCUUGACACUGAGGUUCAAACGAUAAGAUCUUCAUAGAAUAUGUAGGAUCCAUUAUGGGCAUCCAGGUCCCGCUAUUGGAUAUUGACUGAGGAGUCUCUCGGGUCAUGUCUACAUAGUUCUCGAACCCGCAGGGUCUGCACACUUAAGGUUCGACGUUGUUUUAUGCGUAUUUGAGUUAUAUGGUUGGUUACCGAAUGUUGUUCGGAGUCCCGGAUGAGAUCAUGGACGUCACGAGGGUUUCUGGAAUGGUCCGGAAACGAAGAUUGAUAUAUAGGAUGACCUCAUUUGAUUACCGGAAGGUUUUCGGAGUUACCGGGAAUGUACCGGGAAUGACGAAUGGGUUCCGGGAGUUCACCGGGGGGGCAACCCACCCCGGGGAAGCCCAUAGGCUUUGGGGAGACACACCAGCCCUUAGUGGACUAGUGGGACAUCCCCAAGGGGGCCUAUGCGCCAAGAAUAAAGAAUCAAAGGAAAGAAAAAAAAAGAGGGAGGAAGUGGGAAGGGAGGGGGACUCCUCCCACCAAACCAAGUCCAACUCGGUUUGGGGGGGGAGUCCUCCCCCCCUUGGCUCGGCCGACCCCUUGAGGGUCCCUUCGACCCCAAGGCAAGGUCCCCCUCCCUCCUCCUAUAUAUAUGGAGCAAUUAGGGCUGAUUUGAGACGACUUUCUCACGGCUGCCCGACCACAUACCUCCAUAGUUUUUCCUCUAGAUCGCGUUUCUGCGGAGCUCGGGCGGAGCCCUGCUGAGACAAGAUCAUCACCAACCUCCGGAGCGCCGUCACGCUGCCGGAGAACUCUUCUACCUCUCCGUCUCUCUUGCUGGAUCAAGAAGGCCGAGAUCAUCGUCGAGCUGUACGUGUGCUUAACGCGGAGGUGCCGUCCGUUCGGUACUAGAUCGUGGGACUGAUCGCGGGAUUGUUCGCGGGGCGGAUCGAGGGACGUGAGGACGUUCCACUACAUCAACCGCGUUCUCUAACGCUUCUGCUGUACGAUCUACAAGGGUACAUAGAUCACUCAUCUCCUCUCGUAGAUGGACAUCACCAUGAUAGGUCUUCGUGCACGUAGGAAAAAUUUUGUUUCCCUUGCGACGUUCCCCAACAGUCGGGACCCCGAUCCUAAGCCAUAGGAAUCCAGCCUGUAACACAUCGCAUCCCUUUGCGGUCUCACGCACGGCUAACCCCACGGCUACAGCCUUACCUUAGCCGGGACCGUUUGCGCCUUUUGACUCAUGUAUGCAAUUGUGUCGCUAGCAAUCCAAUGACAAAGAACCCGGAUCGACAUGUCUAGUCAUAAACCAAAGUGGCAGUUCCGCACAGGGACAGGCAUACAUGACCCAGCAAAGCAGGUGUCGGUCACCAGCGAAUGUAGACGAGUCGUAGCAAGCUACAAGGACUCCAUUACAUCGCGUGACAUUUCCCCAAAGAGGACAGACACAACAGCUAAGAAGGACACAUGCCGGUCAACCAAUGUGUCCAGAGCAGUAGCGAGCUUCCAUGGCUCGUUGGAUCACAAAGGGGCGUUUCCCUGUAAGGAGUGCUACUAAAGUUUACGGCUAGGUAAUCGAACCCCAUACAUAUCAAGUAUGACACACGUACGCAUGGCAUACCGAUAUGUAUAGAUACAUCGAUGGCAUCACAACAUAACCAUAAACAUACAAGCUUUAUUUAAAAGGCUCGGAAGAGCCACACACAUAAUAUUACACAGUAAGGGUCUCACGACCCAUCAUAACAGUCAUUCAGUUACAAGCCAGCGGAAGUGUUUAAAACUGUCUGAGUACAGACAGGUGAAACUAAAGGGCACAUGGCCUGACUAUACUACAGCCCAACCUAGGGCCAGAUCGUAGCUGGGACACCAGCUACUCGUCGUCGUCGAUGUCUAGGAAGAACCCUCCGUUAGGGUCAUUAACAACCUCUGCAACAAUUAUUAAACAAACAUGAGUACGGAGGUACUCAGGAAGACUUUAGGAUAACUAUCUACUCAUGCAAUGUAUCAAUAAGGUAUUGUGGGGUAUCAUGCGGAAAGCCAGCAUUUGACUCGUGGCUAGACAACUUACAUUUUAAAACAAUUUUUGACAACUUGAUUUCUCGCACACGAGUCCACUAACACCACAACAAUACUCCAUCGUGGAAUCAUUCCGUCUCCAUACGGAAACGUCGUCCGCGACACUCACGCUUAUCUUGACAAUUUUAUGAGUAGCCAUUGAAGUUAUCUAUGAACAACAUAUGUCUCCAAGUAGUCCAUAUCCGCGGACGCGGCUAUUCGAAUAGAUCAUAACCCUCCAGGGGUGUACUUCGUCACACACGCUCUCGCCACUUAUCGCCAUGUGCACUUCAUGCACCUCGGCAACCUUCAAGCGGAAGCCCAGCGAGGGAGUCGGCCACGACCGUUAACCACACUAGUACCUAGUCCAGGUUUAUCGCCUAUCUGAGAGUAACCCGCACGGAAGUCCGGCCGAGGUUUCCGCCACGGCCUCAAACGAUGUGCGCAGGGUUCCCAAGCCCACCAUCCGGGUGCCACUUGGUACACCGUGCCACGGCCUACCGCAUCACAGCCCACCUCUCAGGUCAGCGCUAUGCACGGCCUCCAGCAUGACUAUAAACACCAGAAACUACUUGCAACUCCUGGACCGGAUACUAAGCGAUUAAUAAGUCGAGAGGGUCAAUUAAGUAUCCCAACAUGUGGUAGUAUCUAGUCUUGGAUUACAUACACGGAACUCAGUUCCUAAGGACGGUUCCAAUGAAACAACCCGCCUUGUACUCCUACAUAGCCUUUCACCGGUACCUUUACCAAAUCAGGUUCAACACACCGCCUUUACUUACUCAACGCAUUCUCACAAUUCUGUUCAUCUCCCAGAUGACAGACCAAACACAACUCUAAGCAUAGCAUGUAUAGCAGGAUAAGGCACAUCAUGGCUCAAGCAUCUACCAGGUAUGCUAGGUUGCAAGGUUCAGUUAUUUACUGUGACAAAGACAGGUCAUGCAAAGUAAGUGGGUUCAACUAACGUGGCAAAAGCAUUUGAGCAUUUGAUCCUAAUGCAAUAUGUAAGUGCAGAAGCGAGAACAUGGGAUUUAUCGGCAUGAUCAAAAUGGUUGCUUGCCUUGUUGCUCAGAAGAGGGACAAUAUCCGUCAAUCAGAUAUUUGGUGGAAUCCGGAGGAGCGGAGCCUACCGAAAAGAGUGACAACAAUCAAUCACAAGCAUAUGCAACAAGAUGAUGCAUGGGCAUGGCAUGAGGAUGCAAAGUGGUAUACUAUUAUAGCUAACAUUUAUUAGGUUUGAAGUUGAUUUGAAUCAAAUUCAAAUAUUACUUCAAACGAGGUAUUCUCGGAUACCAUUUUAAUUGAUUCGACCUCAUGCUCAGAUCAACUUGCUUUUAACAUGCAUGGAGUGACAUGUUAGGUUGCUGGUUUAUGAUUUGGAUAGUGUUUGAUCAUAUAAUUAGUAGUGAAAUUUAAAUAAUUUCCAAAUUCCAUCUCCAAAUUAUUUAUAAGAAUUAACUUAUUCAUUAAUCUACAUGUUUGGGUUCAGUAACAUUUUCAAACAUGUUUUAAAAUGACAUAUUCUGAUUCCUUGGAUUUUUCUGAUACUUUUUCAUAUAUAAAUUAUUUUCAUUGGAGUUACAGAUUAAUUUCUAUGAUUUUUAGAAUUUUUGGCAUUUUUCUGGAAUUCUUUUUAAUCAGAAAACUCUUUACCGCAUCAGCAUGACAUGAGCACGUCCAACUGGCUGUUGAAAGUCAAACCUGACCAGUGGGACCCACUGGUCAGCGACUCUGGUCAGUUUUAGAUUAGUUUUAAUCUUAAUUAGCUAAUUAACCUCACUGGACCCACAUGUCAGUGACUUAUAAAUUUGUUUAAUUUUAUUUUUAUUAGUCCAAAUUAUCCACAGGCUGGCCCCAGACGUGAGUGGCUCAGGCCAGCUGAGAUCCACCGGCGGCGAGGUCGUCCUUGCGUGCGGGGAGCCUCCGGCGACCACCAGUACGGCGGAGGGCAUCGGAAACUCACCUCCGACGACCAAACGCACGGCGGAGACCAAGGGGAGAACGGCCACUCGACGGCGCGCACGAUGGGGCAAACCCCAGGGGCUGGGGUGGCCGGAAUCGACGCCGGCGACGAGCUCGGCAGCGACCAAGUUCGGCCAUCGUCGAAGUCAUCGAACACAGGGUCAAAUCGCGCAGGGCUGGGCUCCUAAAGCAUCUACGUGACGUCCUGAGGCUGCUGGUGGCCUCAGACGGACCAACCCUUCACCGGAGGGCUACCGGCGACAAGCUGCAGCGGCGGUCCUCGUCGGGCUCCGAUGGAACUAGGCCUAGAGGAGGAGAUCGACGGGGAAAACUUAGGGGAAAGCUGCGCAAGCUCACGAGGAGUGCACAGGAGGGCUUAGACGGCUCGGGGAAGCGCUGAGGGCGACGAAUCGAGCAGAGCUCGCCGGCAGCCGAAGGUUGAAGACGACGGUGUCGUGGGCGUUGCAGGGCUUGGGGAGGCUUCGGCUUCUGCAGGGAGGACCAGCUCGUCGAGGCGGAGCUAAUGGCACACUCGGGAGGAAGAUUAUGUGGCUAGGGGCACGGGCAGCUCGAGCUCGAGCUCCUGUCAAUGGCGGUAGUGGGGAUCGGAAGAACCGAGAGGAGAGGGGGGAGAUGGACCACGGGAAUGGAUAGGUACGUGCUCGGGGAGGUUAUGCCCGUGCUCGCCAGCGCGAAGCGGCGGCCAGGCAGGCAGAGAGCUGCGUGGAGGUGCGCGGCGUCGCGGCGGCCACCUCCUGCUCCUACUAGCGAGGAGGAAGACGACAGCGCGACUGGGCCUGGGCUGAGGUGAGCGACAGGUAAUUCUUUCCUCCUUUUUUCUGUUUUGUUUCUGUUUUGCUAACUAUUUGAUUUGCUAUUUAUUUCAGCUCCAAAAUAGUUUGUAAAAAUUAUUUUGAACACCAGAAUAUUUGUUGGAAUAUAUCCAACCAUUCCUGGAGUUUUCAACAUUUUUGAAAACUUAAAGUUUUUGAAUUCAAAUUUUAAAAUUGAAACCAGUAGCUUUUUGCAUUUAUUUAAAAUGCCAAAAGUGUUAUGGAAAUGGUUUUCUUCAUUGCUUAUUUGCUUCCAUGAUUUAUCAGAAAAGUUGAACUUUUCUUGAGGCCAUUUUGAGUUCAUUGAUUUGAACAAGUUUAUAAUUCCUUUGAAUUUGAGAAGUGGCUAGGGUUUUUGAGUGUUCCUUCACCACUUGCUUGUUAUUGUUGCAAUUCCCUUGGAUGCAAUGCAAAGAAGAUAUGAGCACAAUGCUAAACCUUGGUUAGGGUUCCCGGGAUGUGACAAACUUAGCCGGGGCUAAUCUAGCCAAAGAUGACGCUGGCGACGAGCUUGGCGGCGGCCAAAGUUCGGGCGUCAUCGGGGUCAUCGAAACAGAGGGAGCUACGCACAGGGCUGAGCUCCUACGACAUCUACGCGAUGGCAUGAAGCUGCUGGUGGCCUAAGAAGGACGAGCUGUUCACCAGAGGGCUACCGGCGACGAGCUGCAGCGGCGGUCCUCGUCGGGCUCCGGUGGAACUAGGCCUAGAGGAAGAGAUCGACGGGGAAAACUUGGGGAAAAGCUGUGCAAGCUCACGGGGAGUGCAGAGGUGGCGCUAGCUUGCUCGGGGAGGCGCUGAAGGCGACGAAUCGAUCGAAGCUCGCCGGCGGCCGAAGCUUGAAGACGAUGGUGCCGUGGGCGUUGCAGGGCUCGGGGGACCUUCGACUUCUGCAGGAAGGACCAGCUCGUCGAGGCGGAGCGAAUGGGGCACUCGGGGGAGAGAACCAGUGGCCAGAGCCACGGGCAGCUCGAGCUCGAGCUCCUGUCGAUGGCGGCAGAAGGGGGGAGGAAAGAACCGAGAGGAAAGGGGGGGAAUGGUACACGGGAAUGGAUAGGCCAGAGCUCGGGGAGGUUAUCCCUGCUGUCGCGCUGUCCUGGGGAGCACCGGAGCGUGCCACGGCGAAGCAGGAGGUAGAGGAGACGUCGUGGGCGUUCACUCCUCUGCCAGAAGGCAAGAGGAAGAAGACGCCCCUACCCCUGCUGGGCUGGGCCUCCUCAGGGCGACAGGUAAGUGUUUCUUCCUUUUUUCUGUUUUGUUUUCUGUUUUACUAACUAUUUUGGUUUGCUAUUUAUUUCAGCUCCAAAAUAGUUUACCAAAAAUAUUUUGAACACACCAGAAUAUUUGUUGGAAUAUAUCCAACCAUUCCUAAAGUUUUUAGCAUUUUUGAAAACUUAAAGUUUUUUAAUUCAAAUUUAAACUUGAAUCCAGUAGCUUUUUGCAUUUAAAUAAAAUGCCAAAUGUGUUAUGAAAAUAGUUUUCUUCAUUGCUUACUUGCUUCCAUGAAUUAUCAGAAAAGUUGAACUUUUCUUGAGGCCAUUUUGGAUUCAUUGAUUUGAACAAGUUUAUAAUUUCUUUGAAUUUGAGAAGUGGCUAAGGUUUUUGAGUUUUGCUUCACCACUUGCUUUGAUCUUGUUGCAAUUUCCUUUGAUGCAAUGCAAAGAAGAUAUGAGCACCAUGCUAUACUUGAUUAGGGUUCCAGGGAUGUGACAACUCACCCCACUCAAAAGAAUCUCGUCCCGAGAUUUAGAAGUCAUCGGAAAUAACACGGGAUACUCAAGUCGGAGACGAUCCUCUCUUUCCCAUGUUGCCUCCUUUUCAGAAUGAUUUGACCAUUGAACUUUAAGAAACUUGAGGUUUCAACGUCGAGUGGUACGCUCAUCUUGAUCAAGAAUACGCACGGGGUAUUCUCGGUAUGAAAGGUUAUCUUGGAGAUCAAGCGUUUCGUGGUCCACUUCACGGAUAGGAUCCUAAAAGCAACGCCUGAGUUGCGAGACGUGGAAGACAUCAUGAACCUUGGAAAGAUGCGGAGGAAGUUCCAAAUGGUAGGCAACUUCUCCUCGUUUGGCAAGAAUGCGAAAGGGACCAAUGUAACGAGGAGCCAACUUGCCCUUGAUACCGAAUCGAUGGGUACCCUUCAAAGGUGUAACCCGAAGGUAAGCCUUCUCGUCAACUUCAAAGGUCACGGCCUUAUGAUGACGAUCAUAUUGGCUCUUUUGACGAGACUGGGCUGUUUUCAACUUUUCACGAAUAAUGCGAACCUGCUCUUCUGCAUCCUAGAUCAUAUCCGGGCCAAAGAGUUGCCUCUCUCUGGUUUCUGACCAAUUAAGAGGUGUUCGACAUCUUCGUCCAUAGAGAACUUCAAAAGGGGCUUUGCCCAAGCUUGAUUGAUAACUAUUGUUAUAAGCAAAUUCGGCGAAUGGAAGGCACUUCUCCCAAUUCAUACCGAACGAUAUAACACAAGCUCGGAGCAUAUCUUCUAGGAUUUGAUUCACUCUUUCUACUUGACCACUUGAUUGAGGAUGGAAAGCAGUGCUAAAAGAUAAGUGAGUCCCCAUAGCAUUCUGGAAACUUUCCCAGAAGCGAGAAGUAAAGAUACUCCUAGGGUCUGAGUUAAUCUCUAGGGGAACACCAUGAAGAGACACUAUUCGAGAGAUAUAUAAUUCUGCUAGCUGGCUAGCUGUUAUACUCUCACGAACUGGAAGAAAAUGAGCUACUUUGGAGAGACGAUCAAUGACCACAAAGAUAGCAUUAUUUCCUUUCUUGGUCUUGGGAAAUCCGGUAAUGAAAUCUAUACUGACUUUAUCCCAUUUCCAUUCAGGAAUAGCUAGAGGUUGAAGGGUGCCAGCAGGCCGUUGAUGUUCUGCCUAAACUCGACGACAAACGUCGCAGUUAGCAACGAACUCAGCAAUUUCUCUCUUCAUCCUAGUCCACCGGAACCUCUCGCGUAGGUCCUGAUAUAUCUUAGUACUAUCGGGAUGAAUGGUGAGAGGACAAUCAUGAGCCUCCUUAAGGAUUAACUGCCUUAGAUGUGGGUUCUUAGGAACCACUAGACGAUUCUAGAAGAACACAACACCUUGAUCAUUCAUGGAGAAUUCAUUAGCAUUUCCGCUAAUAAUAUUCUCCUUGAUCCGUGAUAUCCCCUUAUCACGCUUUUGGCCAGCUAUAAUUUGAUCCCUAAGGGUAGGCUUCGCCACCAGGGUAGAAAGGAAUCCUUGAGGAACAAUAUGAAGAUUCAACUUCCGAAAUUCCUCAUAGAGAUGUGGCUGACCUUGUUGUAGCAUCAAGUUGUUACAAUAAGAUUUACAACCUAGUGCAUCAGCCACAACAUUGGCCUUCCCCGGGGUGUAAGUUAUCCCUAAGUCGUAAUCCGAGAUCAACUCAACCCACCGUCUUUGCCUGAGAUUCAAAUCCUGCUGGGUGAAGAUAUAUUUCAGACUUUGGUGAUUAGUGAAUAUUUCGCAAUGAUUACCGAGGAGGUAAUGUCGCCGGGUUUUUAGUGCAUGGACUACAGCUGCAAGCUCAAGAUCAUGUGUGGGAUAAUUAUCCUCAUGUGGACGCAACUGUCGAGAUGUGUAUGCAAUCACAUGACGAUCUUGCAUGAGAAUGCAACCUAAUCCUUGUCGCGAGGCAUCGCAAUAGAUAACAAAGUCCUUAGAAAAAUCUGGUGGUAGCAACACAGGUGCGGAAGUCAGGCGUCUUUUCAGUUCCUGAAAACUAUGCUCACACUGUGGUGUCCACUCGAACUUUUUAUCCUUCUUGAGGAGUUCAGUUAGAGGCUUUGCAACCUUGGAGAAAUUCUCGACAAAGCGGCGACAAUAGCUUGCUAGACCAAGAAAACUCCUAACUUGCUUAACCGAUUCAGGUUGAGUCCAAUCAAGGAUAGUUUGAACUCUCUCAGGAUUAACAGCAAUACCCUUACCAGAGAUUACAUGACCUAGAUAGGUCACUUCUGGUAACCAAAAUUCACAUUUUGAAAACUUGGCAUAAAGGCGAUGCUCACGAAGUUUCAUAAAUACUAGCCUUAGAUGCUCGACAUGUUCUUGUUCGUUCUUCGAGUAGAUGAGAAUGUCAUCGAGGUAUACCACGACGAAUUUAUACAGAUACUCCAUGAAGAUUGAAUUCAUCAAGCGAGAGAAGGUGGCUGGGGCAUUGGUUAAACCGAAGGACAUGACGGUGUACUCAUAUUGGCCAUAACGAGUAACAAAAGCCGUUUUUGGAAUGUCCCCGUUCUUGAUCUUGAUUUGAUGGUAUCCCAACCUCAAAUCCAUUUUUGAGAAGACUAAGGAUCCAGCGAGCUGAUCAUACAAGUCAUUGAUCCUGGGGAGCAGAUACUUGUUCUUUAUGGUGACCAGAUUAACUGGUCGGUAAUCUACAACCAUCUGAUCCGUUCCGUCUUUCUUCUUGACGAAGAGGACGGGGCAAGCCCAAGGAGAAGAGCUAGGACGAAUGAAACCUUUAUUCAAGGCCUCAUCUAGUUGCUUCUUAAGUUCGGCUAGCUCCAGGGGUGCCAUCUUAUAUGGUCUUCUGGCUAUUGGAACAGUUUCCGGAACAAGAUCUAUUACGAACUCCACAUCUCUGUCAGGUGGAAUUCCUGGCAGUUCCUCUGGAAAAACAUCCAGGAAGUCACAGACUACCGGAAUGUCUUCAAGUUCCGGAAGGGGGUUGACAUUGAGGGAAUAGAGUUGGCAUUUGGCUACUCGAGUAGAGACAUUGACUAUCUCACCCGAGGGAUGGGUAAGCUGAACAUUUCUAGUAUGAGUAUCAAUCUUGGCAUAAUGAGCUGACAUCCAGUCCAUACCCAAGAUGAUAUUAAUAUCCGAAGAUUUCAGGGAUAUCAAUGAGGCUAGAAAAACUAGCCUGUCUACUAGAAUUUCAUUGUCAUAGGUUAUCCUAGAGGUUUGCCACUUACUACCAGGAGUUUGGACAACCAGUGGAAUUGGCAUAUCACAAAAAGACAUGUUAUGCAACUGUGCAUAACUUUCUAAAAUUAAGGAAUGAGAAGACCCAGUGUCAAAAAGAACAGACGCUAGGUGAUGAUUAACAAGAAGCGUACCCAGUAUGACGUCAAGAUCCUCUGCAGCUUCUUCUGCUGAGACAUAGUUCACACGGCCACGUGCAGGAGUUGGCUUCACAUAGUAAGCUUUGCCCGACUUGCCUUGCCCGACGGACUUUCCGGGUUGCUUGGCACCCACAUUCUGAGGACACUCUCGGGAAUAGUGCCCGGGUUCUCCACACUUGUAGCAUAUCACUUGGUUGGCACGUGGUGCAGCAUUGCUAGCUGGACCACCAUAGGUUUUUGCUCGAGGGUUGGUCUGAUUCGUCUGAGGGGCCACGUAGGAUGGCCUCGGAGUGUAUCUUGGCGGUAGAGAACUGUUUGGAACCCACAGCCUGCGUUUUGGAAACGGGGAACGAGAUGACGAGCCAAAGUCACGGGAGUGCUUCUUUGUGGCUUCGAAGUCGGUAUGACCAGUCUCGGCACUGAUCGCCUUGUUGACCAGGGCUUGGAAGCUUGUACACUCAUGGAGGCGCAAAUCAUGACGAAGCUCCGGGCUCAGACCCUUACGGAAUCAUGCUUGCUUCUUGUCAUCAAUAGACACCUCCUCUGUUGCAUAGCGGGCAAGGUUACCGAACUCGCGGCUAUAGGCAUCCACGGUCAACUUUCCCUGGGUGAAUGCACAGAACUCCUCUCUCUUUCUGUCCAUCAGGCCCUCUGGAAUAUGGUGCAGACGGAAGGUUGCACUAAAGUCUGCCCAUGUGGCUGCUGGUUCAGCAGGACGCAUAGCUUCAAAGUUCUCCCAUCAUAGAUUGGUGGGUCCUUCCAGAAAAUACGCCGCAAAGGUCACCUUGUCGGCCUCAGAAACAUUCGCAGAGAGAAUCUUACGUGAAAUACUGCACAUCCAAUCAUCAGCGUCGAGGGGAUCGACGGAGUGAUGGAACUUUGGAGGAUUUAGCUUCACAAAGUCAUUGAGGGACACUUCAGCAUUCCUAGGCUGACGAGCUGUAUUCUGCUCAAUACGCUCUAACAGUCGGUUGGUCUCCCUUUUGUUCCUCUCUGCCUCAAGCAUAACUAACGCCAGAGAGGGCGGGUGAGGCAGGUCUUCCUGCGACGCUUGACUACCCUCGCCUUGCUCAUGAGCAGGGGCACGGUUCAACCUGGUGAACACCAUCCUGACAAACAAACUCACAGCUUAGACCAAUAUCAUCAUCAAUACUAGCUAUGGAUUAAGAAUGCACUGAACACAUGGAAUGUGGAAAUGAAUAUCUGAACAACAUGGUAACAAGCAACUCCUAUAUAUACACCAUGGUUCAUACACACCCUUACAUAGUUCAGUACAACCUUAACCGAAGAGCAAACUACUGAAAUUAUGAAACUACUCAUCAGAGGCUUACGAGCUUCUUAUACAUUAUUUAUCUAGGCCUCCGGAAUUCAUUUCACAUCACAAGCAUACUUCACAAGUCACACAGGACUGUGAACGUACGGCUAUUACCAUACUAUCCUUCCACUAACGGUUCAGGCAUCCGCAUAGAACAUCUCAUAAAGAUUGCCUCCAUGGCCUGGAAGCUCAACCUACGGAUCAGGAAAUACUCUGGCCUGAGAUCCCUGAGAUCCAUAAGGACACGGAUGUGUCCUUGGUCCCCUGACUGGUGGUAGUAGGGGUCCCCGAAGAGGGGUGACUCCUCCUAUAGCUGGCCAAUCAACAUGGGCCGGAAGAUGGGUUCUAACAGGGUUCAGCAUCUCCAUAUCUCCGUACCCUGUCUGGACUACCGGUGCGAGCUGCGUCAAAGCCGUCCACAGAUGGGCACGUGUAGCAUAAAGCUCCAUGCGGGAGCACGAGCAUCCCUGUCUCUGUUCUCUAGCAUCUCAGCAGUGGAGUGCAGUAGCGGAUCCUCCAUAGAGGAAUCAAAAUAGACCUCGCUGAGGUAUCCCUCUUCACCAGGCUGAGAGGCAGGAACAUAGCAGAACUCUGAAUUCUGCAGCAGUGCAUGUCUCGCCCUCAUAAUGGUCAGCAUUGAAUAGGCAGCAUCUUGUACUCCCAUGUCAACAGCGACUCCCAAUCCAUAUGACCAAUGGACUGGCUCCUCAGCUCCAGGGUAGUCUGGAUAUACCCUAACAGUGCAGAUAUACUGGCUCUGGUUGAAGUCUCGGUACUGUUCCUCCACUGUGUACUCUGGGUACCAGCGGUAACCGCACACCGACAUCACCCUGGCCAGCAUGGCUGUAUGACCCGGCACAUCAAUGCACCUGGUCAGACGAACCACCUGACGAGAAGUACGGCCAGACAUCUGAAAAUUGAGAGUAAUUCAAAAGCAUUAGAGCUCUGAAUGCAAAAUUGGGCAGCAUAACGGCUGUAAAUGCUCAAAAAAAAAUUGAGACAACCCCAAAAAUAGGAUAGCGUAACCACUCAACUAUCAAGUUCAAUUCUCUGAUCAUCAAACUUACUUCCUUUUUCUUAGGGAUAAAAGAAACCCAAAAUAACUCUCGACUCGUAGUCUUAUAAUCUACCGAUCAGAAACACGAGCCUAGAAGAAGAUGAGUAACCUAGUCCUUAAUUCCCGCAGAAAAGAUGAAGAUGACCAGAAUAGAAUAAUCUUGAGAAGAGAACAAGAGUCUUACGUUCCCUUCCACAAACAAUUCCUUUAUAUAUAACUAAAGCAAUUCAAGACUCAACUUCGACCAGUUUUGCUUAGUAGUCCUACAGUCAGUCACGCUCUGAUACCAACGCUGUCGGGACCCCGAUCCUAAGUCAUAGGAAUCCAGUCUGUAACACAUCGCAUCUCUUUGCGGUCUCACGCACGGUUAACCCCACGGCUGCAGCCUUACCUUAGUCGGGACCAUUUGCGCCUUUCGACUCGCGUAUGCAAUUGUGUCGCUAGCAAUCCAAUGACAAAGAACCCGGAUCGACAUGUCUAGUCAUAAACCAAAGUGGCACUUCCGCACAGGGACAGGCAUACAUGACCCAGCAAAGCAGGUGUCGGUCACUAGCAAAUGUAGACGAGUCGUAGCAAGCUACAAGGACUCCAUUACAUCGCGUGACAUUUCCCCAAAGGGGACAGACACAGCAGCUAAGAAGGACACACGUCGGUCAACCAAUGUGUCCGAAGCAGUAGCGAGCUACCAUGGCUCGUUGGAUCACAAAGGGGCAUUUCCCUGUAAGGAAUGCUACUAAAGUCUACGGCUAGGUAAUCGAACCACAUACAUAUCAACUACGACACACGUAUGCAUGGCAUACCGAUAUGUAUAGAUACAUCGAUGGCAUCACAACAUAACCAUAAACAUACAAGCUUUAUUUAAGAGGCUCGGAAGAGCCUCACACAUAAUAUUACACAGUAGGGGUCUCACGACCCAUCAUAACAGUCAUUCAAGUUACAAGCCAGUGGAAGUAGAUAAGCUGUCUGAGUACAGACAGAUGAAACUAGAAGGCACGUGGCCUGACUAUACUACGGACCCACCCUAGGGCCAGAUCUUAGCUGGGAUACCAGCUACUCGUCGUCGUCGAUGUCUAGGAAGAACCCUCCAUUAGGGCCAUUAACAACCUCUGCAACAAAUAUUAAGCAAACAUGAGUACGGAGGUACUCAGCAAGACUUUAGGAUAACUAUCUACUCAUGCAAUGUAUCAAUAAGGAAUUGUGGGGUUUCAUGCGGAAAGCGAGCAUUUGACUCGUGGCUAGACAACUUGCAUUUUAAAACAAUUUUUGACAACUUGAUUUCUCGCACACGAGUCCACUAACACCACAACAAUACUCCAUCAUGGAAUCAUUCCGUCUCCAUACGGAAAUGCCGUCCACGACACUCACGCUUAUCUUGACAAUUUUAUGAGUAGCCAUUGAUGUUAUCUAUGAACAACAUAUGUCUCCAAGUAGUCCAUAUCCGCGGACACGGCUAUUCGAAUAGAUCAUAACCCUGUAGGGGUGUACUUCUUCACACACGCUCUCGCCACUUAUCGCCAUGUGCACGUCAUGCACAUCGGCAACCUUCAAGCGGAAGCCCAGCGAGGGAGUCGGCCACGACCGUUAACAACACUAAUACUUAGUUGAGGUCUAUCGCGUAUCUGAGGGUAACCUGCACGGAAGUCCGACCGAGGUUUCCGCCACGGCCCCAAACGAUGUGCGCAGGGUUCCCAAGCCCACCAUCCGGGUGCCACUUGGUACACCAUGCCACUGCCUACCGCAUCACAGCCCACCUCUCAGGUCAGCGCUAUGCACGGCCUCCAACAUGACUAUAAACACCAGAAACUACUUGCAACUCCUGGACCGAGUACUAAGCGAUUAAUAAGUAGAGAGAGGUCAUAUUUCAAGGCCCAGCAUGUGGUAGUAUCUCGUCUUGGAUUACAUACACGGAACUCAGGUCCUAAGGACGGUUCCAAUGAAACAACCCGCCAUGUACUCCUACAUAGCCUUUCACCGGUACCUUUACCAAAUCAGGUUCAACACACAACCUUUACUUACUGAACACAUUCUCACAAUUAUGUUCAUCUCCCAAAUGACAGACCAUACACAACUCUAAGCAUAGCAUGCAUAGCAGGAUAAGGCACAUCAUGGCUCAAGCAUCUACCAGGUAUGCUAGGUUGCAAGGUUCAGCUAUUUACUGUGACAAAGACGGGUCAUGCAAAGGAAGUGGGUUCGACUAACGUGGCAAAAGCAUUUGAGCAUUUGAUCCUAAUGCAAUAAGUAAGUGCAGGAGCGAGAACAUGGGAUUUAUCGAGAUGAUCAAAAUGGUUGCUUGCCUUGUUGCUCAGAAGAGGGACAAUAUCCGUCAGUCGGAUAUUCGGUGGAAUCCGGAGGAGCGGAGCCUACCGAAAGAAAUGACAACAAUCAAUAACAAUCAUAUGCAACAAGAUGAUGCAUGAGCAUGGCAUGAGGAUGCAAGGUGGUAUGCUAAUAUAGCUAACAUUUAUUAGGUUUGAAGUUGAUUUGAAUCAGAUUCAAAUACCACUUCAAACGAGGUAUUCUCGAAUACCAUUUUAAUUAAUUCGACCUGAUGCUGAGAUCAACUUGUUUUUAACAUGCAUGGAAAUGAUAUGUUAAGUUGCUGGUUGUGAUUGAACAAUGUUUGAUCAUAGCAUUUGAAGUGGAAUUCAAAUGAUUUUCAAAUUACAUCUCCAUAGCAUUUAUAAAAUUUAACCUAUUCAUUAUUCUACAUGUUUGGUCCAAUAACAUUUUCAAACAUGUUUGAAAAUGACAUAUUCAGAUUGCUUGGAUUUUUCUGAUACUUUUUCAUAUAUAAAUUAUUUUCAGUGGAGUUACAGAUUAAUUUCUAUGAUUUUAAGAAGUUUUGGCAUUUUUCUGGAAUUCUUUUAAAUCAGAAAAUCUUUACUGCAUCAGCAUGACAUCAGCAGGUCCAACUGGCCGUUGAAAGUCAAACCUGACCAGUGGGACCCACUGGUCAGUGACUCUGGUCAGUUUUAGAUUAGUUUUAAACUUAAUUAGCUAUUUAACAGUACUGGACCCACAUGUCAGUGACUUAUUAGAUUAAUUAACUUUAUUUUUAUUACUCCAAAACUUCGACAGGCUGGCCCCACGCGUCAGUGGCUCAGGCCAGCUGAGAUCCACCGGCGGCGAGGUCGUCCUCGCCGGUGGGGAGCCUCCGACGACCACUAGUACGGCGGAGGGGCUCGGAUACGGCGCACAGGCGGCCAAACUGUGCACGGAGUGCACCAAAGGAACGACACGACUCCCGCAGGUUCAUUUUUGCACUUAGCCGGGGCUGAUCUAGCCGGAGAUGAUGCUGGCGACGAGCUUGGCGGCGGCCAAAGUUCGGGCGUCAUCGGGGUCAUCGAAACAGAGGGAGCUACGAACGGGGCUGAGCUCCUACGGCAUCUACACGACGGCCUGAUGCUGCUGGUAGCCUCAGAAGGACGAGUUGUUCACCGGAGGGCUACCGGCGACGAGCUGCAGCGGCGGUCCUCGUCGGUCUCCGAUGAAACUAGGCCUAGAGGAAGAGAUCGACGGGGAAAACUUGGGGAAAAGCUGCUCAAGCUCACUGGGAGUGCAGAGGUGGCGCUAGCUUGCUCGGGGAGGCGCUGAAGGCGACGAAUCGAUCGAAGCUCACCGGCGGCCGAAGCUUGAAGACGACGGUGCCGUGGGUGUUGCAGGGCUCGGGGGACUUUCGGCUUCUGCAGGAAGGACCAGCUCGUCGAGGCGGAGCGAAUGGGGCACUCGGGGAGAGAACUAGUGGCCAGAGGCACGGGCAGCUCGAGCUCGAGCUCCUGUCAAUGGCGGCAGAAGGGGGAGGAAAGAACCGAGAGGAGAGGGGGGGAAUGGUGCACGAGAAUGGAUAGGCCAGAGCUCGGGGAGGUUAUCCCUGCUGUCGCGCUGUCCUGGAGAGCACCGGAGCGUGCCACGGCGAAGCAGGAGGUGGAGGAGAUGCCGUGGGCAUUCGCUCCUCUCGCAGAAGGCAGGAGGAAGAAGACGCCCCUGCCCCUGGUGGGUUGGGCCUCCUCAGGGCGACAGGUAAGUGUUUCUUCCUUUUUUCUGUUUUGUUUUCUGUUUUACUAACUAUUUUGGUUUGCUAUUUAUUUCAGCUACAAAAUAGUUUACCAAAAAUAGUUUGAACACACGAGAAUAUUUGUUGGAAUAUAUCCAACCAUUCCUGAAGUUUUCAGCAUUUUUUAAAACUUAAAGUUUUUGAAUUCAAAUUUAAACUUGAAUCUAGUAGCUUUUUGCAUUUAAAUAAAAUGCCAAAUAUGUUAUGAAAAUAGUUUUCUUCACUGCUUACUUGCUUCCAUGAAUUAUCAGAAAAGUUUAACUUUUCUUGAGGCCAUUUUGGGUUCAUUGAUUUGAACAAGUUUAUAAUUUCUUUGAAUUUGAGAAGUGGCUAGGGUUUUUGAGUUUUGCUUCACCACUUGCUUUGAUCUUGUUGCAAAUUCCUUUGAUGCAAUGCAAAUAAGAUAUGAGCACAAUGAUAUACUUGAUUAGGGUUCCAGGGAUGUAACAAUAUGCUGAAGAGAGGCUCACCCAUGUUGUGUAUGUGGGAGCAAUCGACUAGUCUUCAUCAAGCCAACGCAAUCAAGAAGGUGCUCCAUCUUGACGAAGCCAAGAUCAUCAUCAUCUAGCUCAAGAGGACGACGUGCAAGGUAUAGGUUUGCCCUUGAUAGGUUUUCUGUUUUAGGAUAGAUUGUCGUACUGUCAAGGGGGCUCUCAAGUGAAUAGCUUGAUCGUAUCGUUCGUUGAGAGCUCAAACCAUUUUCAUCCUUGCAUCAUACUUCUUGGUUCUUGUUGGGUGUUUCUCUUUGUUAUUUUUAGAGCUUAUGGUCAUCUUCAUGACAAGCUCGAGUUCAUCGAAAACGGAGUCCAUAUGCAUCUUCUAUGAUGUUUUCGAUGUUGGGAGUUUUUACAUGUCUUAUUUGAAGAAGGGUUCUCACCAUUUUCUUAUGGGCCUUUUCUCACUUGCUUCUUAUUGAUAUUUCUAUCAAUAUUGUGUUAUCCCAUGUCGUUAGCUUUCCAACAAACUUGGUUUCAUUGAAUUCGGAGUCUGUAUGCGAAAGUUAGAGCAGUUUCAGUAUCUAGAGGUAGUACCGCUAGGGCUAGAGGUAGUACCGCCAGGGCUAGAGGUAGUACCGCCAGGGCUAGAGGUAGUACCGCCAUGGUCUAGAGGUAGUACCGCCAGGGCUAGAGGUAGUAACACCAGGGUCAAGGGGUAGUAUCGCCAGGGCUAGAGGUAGUACCGCCAGGGUCUAGAGGUAGUACCACGAGGGGCUAGCGGUAGUACCAUUGAGCUCGGGCUGUAAGUGGGGGUAAAGGUCCGAUUUCUUCCCCCACUAUAUAAAGGGGGUCUUUUUCCUCCUUGGUCUUUUCUUAUCCGUUGAGCUCGUGUUCUUCCCUCAUUGUUGACCUACUUAGAGCUUGCUAACUCUCAAUCCCUCCAAUGAUUUUUGCUAGUUAAUAGUACGGCACUCCUAUGACUCAAAUAAAGAGAAUCGUAGAGUACACCAUGCUUCUAUUCCAUGAAAGAGGGGGCGAGUCGUCUUGUGCCGUUGACGUGUGUUAUCUGAAAUAUUAACACACACGGUUAGUCCUUUCCGGUACUGUCAUCAAUCACCAAAAUUACUUAGGCAUAAACUAUGCCCUAACACUUGGUUUCAUUGAAUUCGGAGUCUGUAUGCGAAAGUUGGAGCAGUUUCAGUAUCUAGAGGUAGUACCGCCAAUGCUAGAGGUAGUACCGCGAGGGUCUAGAGGUAGUACCGCCAGGGCUAGAGGUAGUACCGCCAGGGCUAGAGGUAGUACCACCAAUAUCUAGAGGUAGUACCACUAGGGUCAAUAGGUAGUACCGCCAGGGCUAGAGGUAGUAACGCCAGGGUCUAGAGGUAGUAUCGCCAGGGGCUAGCGGUANGCCCCGAGCAAUUUGUACGGGUACCGGUGACUGCCCCCAAGGGUUGCCAUUUGUACGGGUUCGGUGACCGCCCUCAAGGGUCCCUUAGUGGAAUCACGACAUCUUGCAUUGUGCGAGGGCGUGAGGAGAUUACGGUGGCCUUAGUGGCAUCUUGGGGAGCAUUGUGCCUCCACACCGCUCCAAUGGAGAUUAGCAUCCGCAAGGGUGUGAACUUCGGGAUACAUCAUCGUCUCCGCGUGCCUCGGUUAUCUCUUACCCAAACCCUUUACUUAUGCACUUUACUUUGUGAUAGCCAUAUCGUUUAUUGUCAUAUAUCUUGCUAUCACUUAGUUGUUUAUCUUGCUUAGCAUAAGUUGUUGGUGCACAUAGGUGAGCCUAGUUGUUUUAGGUUUUGUGCUUGAGAAAUUAAACGUUAGUUUUAUUCCGCAUUUGUUCAAGCCUAAAUCGUAAUUAUUUUAAAGCGCCUAUUCACCCCCCCCUCUAGGCGACAUCCACGUCCUUUCAAUUGGUAUCAGAGCUAGGUCUCUCUUUAUUAGGUUUAACCACCUAGAGAGUAAGGAUGUCGACUAGGGGUUUAGGAUUCACUGACACUCUUAGUUUCGAUGGCACAAAUUUUGAUGUUUGGGUAAUUUGCAUGCUUAAUCACUUUCGGGUCUUGGACCAAAAUUUAGAGCGAAUUGUAGAUAUGGGUUUUUCUCCUCCAAAGGAUUCUCAAAAUAUAUAUUUAGAGGAUGAGAAAAAGUCUUAUCUCGAUGCUCAAGCUUCUAAUGUGCUUUUUGAUGCUUUGAGCAAUGUAGUUAUAUUUCAACUCAUGCCAUUUCGGGAUACUCAUGAGUUGUGGACAAAGCUUCAAGAUAAAUAUGGUAUGUACAAGAUUUGUGGGAAUGAUUGUUCUCCCUCCACCUCGGGUCGCGUGGUCUUCUCAAAUUCAUCUACUUCACCUACAUGUGGUUUGCCACAAGGUAAUGAUAUGGUGAGUAGUGGUGAUCAUUGCAAUGAUGAUAGUGGGUUUAUUGUUGAUGAUCCUUCAUCACUAUAUUAUUGUAAUGCUUCAUCUUUGGGCAUUAACACUUCGAGCACUCUAAAUGUUUUACAUGCUUGUGUUGAUAGUCCUUGCAUAUCAUGUAAAAACUGCUUGACUAAAUCUCAUGAUGAUAUGCUUCCUAUAUCUCGUUGCCAUGAUAAAAAUGUAUAUAUUUCCUCGAGUUGUUGUGCUAACAAUUUAGAGGAAAUUCAUCACUCCAUGGAACAAUAUGUGGCCUUGAAUGAUGCUUCAAGGGAUCCUACAUCAUCAUCUAUUGUUACUCAGUUUUGUCUUAUGGCUAAGGCUUCAAAGGUAUCUCCUACUUUAAAUCCCAAUGUAUCUCAUGAUGAUGAUGUUGAUGAUAAUGAGGAUGAUAAUAAUGAUGAAGAGAGUGAUAUUAUUUCAUCCUUAAAAAUUAAGGGUGAAAUGAUUUUUAAAUCUCUUUAUAAGAAUAAACUUGCUUGUUCCAGCUUCUUGGAAAUCAUGUAUAUUGCCACUGAGGGCAAGAAAUACAUUAUGGAGUUGGAAGCUCAUCUCGAGGAGCAUGAGGCCACCAUUGAGACAAUGGAAGGUCAUGAGCGUGAUUACGCUAACGAGAUCGCGGAGCUAUCUCAAGCUCUUGAAAAUGAACAAACCACCAAGGAAUCUCUUGAGGAAACUUUUGCUAUAGAAUUAUCUAGAUUAAAGGAAUCCCAUGAUAGAGCUCUCGGGGUGGCUAAUGAUUUUAGAACUAAAAAUGAUAAGCUUGUAGUUGCACAUGCUAAACUCGUUGAGGACUAUGAGCACCUCGAAAAUGGCUCAAGGGCUAUUAAGAGUUCGCUCAUCGAACUCACCGAUUCUCAUGCUCAACUUGAAGCUUCAUGUGCUAAAGAGCUUGCCAAGUUCCUUCUCCUCUUAUUGUUAAUAAUGAUGCUUGUGCUACUAACUCUACUUCUUGUGAAGCUUCCAUUUUAAAGGAGAAUGUUGAGCUAAGGGCUCAACUUGAGUUGCUAUCUAGCAAUUAUGGGAAAUUAGAAGAAAGUCAUGUAAUGCUCACAAGCUCUCAUGAUGAUCUUCUAGUAUCCCAUAAUGUGCUAAAAUUAGCUCAUGAGGCUAUUACCACCAAGGUAACAUAGAGUGAGCAUCAUGUGGACAUUAACACUACUUCUAGUCAAAAUGCUAUAUUGCCAUGUGCUAGUCCUCGUAAUUCAUCUACUCAUAAUGUUACUACAUCUUGUGAUGAAUUACUUUCCAUGCCUUGUUGCUCUGACAAUGAAGCUUAUACUUCCUCUAGUACUUGUGUUGAUAUUAACCAUGUAGAGGAAAUCAAAGAUCUCAAGGCCCAAGUCACUUCCUUGAAGAAAGACUUGGAAAAGAGUCAUGAAGGAAUGUCCACACUCAACAAUGUCUUGUGUGGGCAAAAAUCCCCAAAUGACAAAGAUGGACUUGGAUUCAACUCCAACAAAAAGAAUAAGUCCAAAAGCUUCAAGAAGAAGGGCCAAGAACAAGUCAAGAAUUUGGCCAAGAUUAUUUGCUUCAAGCGCAAAAUUGAAGGGCACCAUGUUAGAUCUUGCCCACUAAAGAAGAAGCUCCAAAGUCACAAGCAACAAGGGAAGCGGCCACAAGUUCAAUCACAUACUCAACUACAAGUUGAAUAAAGGUCCCUUCCCAAGACCCAAGCCAACACUCCUCAUGUUGAGAAAUCAAUAGGGAAGAAAUUAAAGGGUAGAUGUUGCUACUUAUGUCGUGAGAAGGGUCACUUCGCUUCUUCUUGCACGAGAGGUAAUUUAUCCAACCCAAUCAUUAUUGAUGAUAUCUAUUCUCUUGGGAAGGAUAAGGUUGUCAAUGUGUUUGCCAAGUUUGUUGGUACUCAAAUUGGUGUCAAGAAAAAUACCAUUUGGGUUGCCAAGCCUAUUAUGACUAACCUCUUAGGACCCAACGUGGUUGGGGACCAACAAGCUCAAACUUGAUCAAUAGGUGAAUGUGGAGGACAUUAGAGACUUGGAUACAUAAUGAAGAAUUAAGGGGUCUUCAUCAUUCAUAUUAUCUCAAGCCAAGUCAUUUGGAUUAUCGAGUUUCUACUUAUAUCCAAUGUGCCUCCUUACGGUAACUUGUACUUAAACUGUUUACAUUGUUAGUUGAUUGCCCCUUUGCAUGUUGUGGUUUUGUACCUUGCAUGUGUUUGUAUAUUUUGUGCUUCCAACUUGCUUAUCUUGAGUAAUCGAGUAUGUGUAUGUUGGUUUGCAUAUCAUGUACAUGUGAGUCUUGUAUUGAGCCUUUUUGCAUCUUGUUUGUAUCUUUGUUGGCUCUUGUGAGAGAUUAAUGGAUUAUCCGAUUGUGGGGGAGUGAUGUGCUUUGCACACCUCACAAUCCUAUAAAUGUGUAUACAUGGGGAAUACCACUUAGUAUUGAUAUUUCAAGAUUAUCUAGUUUCUAUGUGGUAUGUCUUACUCAUGAGAAAUUGAAAUUCUAUAUGGUCCAUUAAUUAUCUCUUGUUGGUUUUAAUUUGCCACUUGUUAAUAUUAUUGGGUUAUCACAUUAUGGGGGAGUAAUAUGCUAUGUGCAUAUUACAAGCCUAGAAAAUGUGUACAUUUGAGGUAUUGCCACUUAGUGUUGAUAUUGUAAAUUAUCUUGUUCCUAGGUGGCAUGUUAGCUCUACAAGUGUCAUUUGCUUGUGUUUUAUGGGUAAAGAUGAUCUUGGAUAUAUUUGCGAUCUACCAAUGAGUAUCAUUCCCAAAAUACUUCUUGUCCUUGACAAUUGGUAUUCCCAUCAUGUGGUAGGAAUUGCUAAUCAUCUUUACAUUGGAUUUUGUGUUUCGUUUGUCUUCCUUGCCUCUUGUGGAUCUAUUUUAACAUGUCUAGUGUUUUUAUAGAUAUAGAGAAAGUGAUGAUCCCAUCUUGUGCAUUUUGUAUUUAAAUGCAAAUUCUAUAUAAUGCACGUCCCUUGGGGGAGCUAUCCUAUUUUCUUUAGAACACUCUCUUUAUUCGUCCAUCAUAAAAUCUUUUGAUCCCCAUCAAGUGUGUGUUGAUGGGAGGCAAGUCUUGCUCUUUAUGAUGCUUUGUGCCAUCAUGAAAAUUUGUCGAGGGUUUGGUUUGUUGGAACCUAGCUCUCUUUUGGAAAUUAGAUACCUCGUGUUUGUGUUCCUUCAAUUGGUAUCUUGUUUCCUUUUAUUUGGCAUGCAUCAAUGGAUAUCUCAUUCGUUGAGGUAUAUUUAAAUUGAUAUCCUUCAAGUGACAGUUUUUCGUUUGGGAUCUUAUUAUCACUUGAUACCUUGUCUUUUGGUGACUUAUCAAAUUUGUGUUGAGUUGAUUCUUGAGAGUCUUGAGCAUGCAUAUCUACUAUAUAUAGCUUCUUUUGCAUGCUUUCUUUCCUUGACCCAAUAUAUAGGGGAAACUCCACCUUGUCAUAAAUUGGCUAAACCGUGCAUGAAAUUCAAUCUCAUAUCUUUAUGCACAUAUUUAUGUGGAGUUUGUCCUAUGUAUUGUUGGUUUUCUAACUCUUUGGUCCCAAUUAGUUGGGCACCAUUUUGUUUGUUUGUUGUUCUAGGGACAAUUGGAGAUGCAUUGGAUGCUCGGCUCACCUACAAGGAAGGUGUUGACACCGUGUGCUUAAUGGAGCCAAGUUAGGAUGAUCAACGAACAACUAUCUACUACAUCAAUCCAAUGUUGUCUCGGUAACAAGUAUCUACUUCAUGCAUUCAUUUCUAGCAAAGGCCCAAACUUGUCUUUUCUUGGCCAGGUUGCAUCAUGGCAUAAAUCUCUUGAUUCGUUCUUGUAGUACUUGUUUCUUUUCUCAAAGCAUCCGAACGAUGAUGUCUUAUUGCUAGUUGGGAUGUAUUUUAUGUUCGUAUGUUGGAAGCUCAUAUUGUAAAAUAAUAAAAUAUUAGGCCAUGUGCUAUGCUUCCAAGCAAAGAUCUUAUUGAUAUAUUUAUGACUUCCUUUUGGAUAUCUUGUUUGUUCCCUCUUGUAACCAUUUCGUGUGUACAUCCUUCUUUGUGGAUAUAUAUAUCAUCAUGAUUGUCUUUGAUACGUCUCCGUCGUAUCUAUAAUUUUUGAUUGUUUCAUGCCAAUAUUCUACAACUUUCAUAUACUUUUGGCAACUUUUUAUACUAUUUUUGGGACUAACAUAUUGAUCCAGUGCCCAGUGUCAGUUCCUAUUUGUUGCAUGUUUUUUGUUUCACAGAAUAUCCAUACCAAACAAAGUCCAAACGUAAUAAANCCCCAUCUAUAUUUAGCGGUUCACUCUCCCGCGACCCGCUGUACCCUCUACUUGAACAUGGUGCUUUAUGCUACAUAUUAUUAUCCAAUGAUGUGUUGCUAUCCUAUGAUGUCUGAGUAGAUUAUCGUUGUCCUAUCAGUGAUUGAUGAAUUGCUAUGAUUGGUUUAAUCUGCUUGUGGUUAUGUUGCUGUCCUUUGGUGCCCAUCAUAUGGUCGCGCGCGUGGAUCACACCAAAGGGUAAGUUGUAUGUUGAUAGGACUAUGUAUUGGCAGGCUAGAGUGACAGAAGCUUCAAACCUAGCAUAGAAAUUGAUGCAUAUGGGAUUGAAGGUGGACCAAUAUAUCUUAUUGCUAUGGUUGGGUUUUACCUUAAUGAACGUUAGUAGUUGCGGAUGCUUGCUAAUAGUUCCAAUCUUAUGUGCAUAGAAUUCCAAGUAAGGGAUGACAUGCUAGGAGAGGCCUCUCCCACAUGAUACUUGCUAUCGAUCUAGUAUCGUAGUCAAUUGCUUAGGGACAAUUCCGCAACUCCUACCACCACUUUUCCACACUCGUUAGACACUCGUAUUUGUUUCUUUUUCUAACCAGCCCCUAGUUUUAUUUACGUGUUAUUUACUUUCUUGCAAGCCUUUCCUAUCCCUCCUACAAAGUACUUCUAGUUUCAUACUUGUUCUAGGUAAAGCGAACGUAAAGUGUGCGUAGAGUUGUAUCAGUGGUCGAUAGAACUUGAGGGAAUAUUUGUCCUGCCUUUAGCUCCUCUUUGGGUUCGACACUCUUACUUAUCGAGAAAGGCUACAAUUGAUCCCCUAUACUUGUGGGUUAUCAAGACCUUUUUCUGGCACCGUUGCCGGGGAGCAAUAGCGUGGGGUGAGUAUUCUCGUGUGUGCUUGUUUGUUUUAUCACUAAGUAGAUUUAUUUGAUGCUCUAAGUUGUUCUCUAUCUUGAGUUAUGGAUAUGGAACACGAAAUACCAAAAAAAUUAGGUGUACUUUCUACUCAUGGAGAUGGGGAACCUCCUAAAACCCUCGAUGCUCGUUACGUGGAAAAUAUUAUAUACUUCUUUAAUAAUCCUGAGAAAGCCCCAUUCAAUUAUAUAAUGGGAUACACGUUGGAUCAACGUGAAUACUUUAGGGAUUGUCGCUUGACUCAAAAAGGAAAACUUUUAUGGGAUCAAAUCCAUUUGUUGAAAUGGUAUGCUUGGGAACUAUGCAAGAGACAUGGUGUUACUUGUUGCUCUAGGAUGAAGGCUCCACACCUUCCCUUUUCCUGUGAGUUUAAUGAUCAUAGAACCUUGGCUUCUUAUGCUAAUGGUAUAUAUGAUUACUAUGAUGUGGAUCAAAUAGAAGAGUUUGUUGCUUUUAUGGGUGCUUAUGAAAUUGAGGCUCUAUUUAAAAGGUAUGAUGAUAAUGAUGAUGCUCCUUACCGAUCUGAAAAUUUGGCUAUGCUUCGUUAUUGUUAUACUAAUUAUGAAUAUAAUGCCCAUAUUGAACGAUUUAAGGAGAAAUCCUAUGCUGCCCAAGAAGAGACUAUUAUUUUGUAGGAAACUAUGGAAGAAGAAAAUGCUAAAAUUGUGAGCUCAUUAGAUGAAAAAGAUGACGAGGAGAGCGAAGAACAAAAGGAGGAAGAACGAACUAGCUACCCGUGUCCACCUUCUAAUGAGAGUAACUAUUCUACUCAUACAUUAUUUUAUUUCCCUUCGUUCUUACCGAAGGAUGAAUGCUAUGAUCCCUUGGAUUCGUUUGAAAUAUCCCUUUUUGAUGAACUUGAUGCUUGCUACGCUUGUGGCCAUGAUGCUAAUAUGAAUGAUGCUUAUGAAGAUGAGCUAGCUAUAGUUCCUUAUGUUACACAUGAUGAUUUUGAUGAAUAUAAUAUGCAUGUGCUUGCUGCUCCUACUUGCAAUUAUUAUGAGAGAGGAACUACAUCUCCACCUCUCUAUGUUUCCAAUACGAUAAAAUUGCAAGAAACUGCUUAUGCUAUGUAUUGGCCCUUACUUGGUGUGCAUGAAUUGUUCUUUUAUGACAUGACAAUGCAUAGGAAGAGAGUUGGACUUCAUCAUUGCUUGAUAUAUGUUACCUUGUGCUCACUACUAAAUUUCAAAUCAUUGCUAAUUAAAAUUGGCUUUGAUAUACCUUGGGAUCCGGGUGGAUCCAUUACUUGAGCACUUUAUGCCUAGCUUAAUGGCUUUAAAGAAAGCGCUGCCUGGGAGACAACCAGGAAGUUUUAGAGUCAUUUAUUUCUGUUGAGUGCUUUUAUUUAGUUUAAAAACAAAAAAAAAUAUAGAGGGAAACUUAAAACUUUUUCAAAAAGAGAAGCGAUUGAAAGGUGAUGCAUUGCGGAAGUGAGGGUCGACCUUGAACACUUGCGUUCAUGCUCAUGGAAACAAUGUAGAAUUUUUCAUGGAAGUUUCUCACAAAAAUAAUUAUCCCCUUGUACAAUUCCUUUGUGUUUUUAAAAAUAAUGUGCCAAGCAAAGCCUUUACGAUUAGUUUGGGUGAUAGUUGUUUGAUCACGCUGAGAAAAGACAAAAACUUUCUGCUCAUGAAAUUAAUUUUCAUUUUUAUUCUGUAAGAUCUUUUGAGUUGAUUCUUUUUGAUGCUGAUUGAUAUGCAAAUUUUCCAUACGUUCGUAAUUUUUCAGAGUUUUUGAGAUAUCAGAAGUAUACGGAAUAUACAGAUUGCUACAGACUGUUCUGUUUUGACAGAUUCUGUUUUCUAUGCAUUGUUCUCUUAUUUUGAUGAAUCAAUGGGUAGUAUCGGGGGGUAUGAACCAUGGUGAAGUUGGAUUACAGUAGAUGUAAUGCUUAUAUGAAUUUAGAAUCAGUUCACAACAAUACUUGAAGUGGUGAUUUAUUUUAUUAUACUAACGGAUCUCACGAAGUUUUGUUGAGUUUUGUGUGAUUGAAGUUUUUAAGUUUUGGGUGAGAAUGAUGGAUGAAGGAAUAAGGAGGGGCAAGAGCCAAAGCUUGGGGAUGCCCGAGGCACCCCAAGGUAAUAUUCAAGGAAGACUCAAGCGUCUAAGCUUGGGGAUGCCCCGGAAGACAUCCCCUCUUUCGUCUACAAUCUAUCAGUAAUUUUACUCGGAGCUACAUUUUAAUUCGUCACAUGAUAUGUGCAAAUGCUUGAAGCGUAUUUUGUGUUUAUUUUCCUUUUUCUUUUUAUUUACCAUGCUGGUAUAAGAUAGUCCUUGGUUGGCUUUAUAGAAUGCUUCAUGUGCUUCACUUAUAUCUUUUGAAGUUUGGAUUGCCUGUUUCCCUACACAUAGAAAACCGCCAUUUGUAGAAUGCUCUUUUGCUUCACUUAUAUUUGUUAGAGCAGGGCAUAUCUUUUGUAGAAAGAAUUAAACUCUCAUGCUUCACUUAUACCUAUUUAGAGAGUUAACAGGAGUUGGCCAUUCACAUGGUUAGUCAUAAAAUCCUACAUAAAACUUGUAGAUCACUGAAUAUGAUAUGUUUGAUUCCUUGCAAUAGUUUUGCGACAUGAAUAUGUGAUAUUAGAGUCAAGCUAGUGAGUAAUUGUGUAUUCAUAUAAAUACUUGUUUUAAGGUUUGUGAUUCCCGUAGCAUGCACAUAUGGUGAACCAUAAUGUGAUGAGGUCGGAGCAUGAUUUAUUUAUUGAUUGUCAUCCUUUGUGUGGAGGUCGGGAUCGCGCGAUGGUUAACUCCUACCAACCUUUCCCCUAGGAGCAUGCGUGUAGUACCUUGUUUCGAUGACUAAUAGACUUUUGCAAUAAGUAUGUGAGUUCUUUAUGACUAAUGUUGAGUCCAUGGAUUAUAAGCACUCUCACCCUUCCACCAUUGCUAGCCUCUUUAGUACCACGCAACUUUCGCCGGUGCAUUACACCCACCAUAUAGCCUCCCUCAAAACAGCCACCAUACCUACCUAUUAUGGCAUUUUCAUAGCCUUUCUGAGAUAUAUUGCCAUGCAACUACCACCGUUCCGUCGCAUGACAUGUGCGACCACUUCCAUAUUGCCAUUGCAUGAUCGUAAGAUAGCUAGCAUGAUGUUUCCAUGGCUUGUCUGUUUUUUGAUGUCAUUGUUAUGCUAGAUCAUUGUCACGGUACACUACCGAAGGCAUUUCAUAUAGAGUCAUCAUUGCUCUAAGUAUUGAGUUGUAAGUUUGAUGAUCAUUAUUAAUAGAGCAUUGUCCCAUGUGAGGAAAUAAAAGAGGCUAGCGAAGCCCAUUCAUAAAAAAAGAGGCCAAAGAUGCCCACCAAAAUAAAUAUAUAUAUAUAUAACUAAAAAAAGAGGCCAAAGAGCCCACACAAAAAAAUGAGAGAAAAGAGAGAACGGACAAUUGCUACUAUCCUCUUUCCACACUUGUGCUUCAAAUAGCACUAUGAUCUUCAUGACAGAGAGUCUCCUAUGUUGUCACUUCCAUAUACUAGUGGGAAAUUUUCAUUAUAUAACUUGGCUUGUAUAUUCCAAUGACGGGCUUCCUCAAAAUUGCCCUAGGUCUUCGUGAGCAAGCAAGUUGGGUGCACACCCACUAGUUUCUUUUGUGAGCUUUCAUACACUUAUAAGCUCUAGUGCAUCCGUUGCAUGGCAAUCCCUACUCACUCACAUUGAUAUCUAUUGAUGUGCAUUUCCAUAGCCCGUUGAUACACCUAGUUGAUGUGAGACUAUCUCCUCCUUUUUGUCUUCUCCACGGCCACCAUAUUCUAUCCCACCUAUAGUGCUAUGUCCAUGGCUCACGCUCAUGUAUUGCGUGAUAGUUGAAAAUGUUUAAGAACACUAAAGUAUGAAACAAUUGCUUGGCUAAAACCGGGGUUGUGCAUGAUUUAAAUACGUUGUGUGGGGAAGAUGGAGCAUGGUCAGACUAUAUGAUUUUGUAGGGAUAACUUUCUUUGGCCUUGAUAUUUUGAGAAGACAUAAUUGCUUUGUUAGUAUGCUUGAAAUAUUAUUGUCUUUAUGUCAAAUGAUAGACUAUUGCUUCGAAUCACUCGUGUUUUAGUAUUCAUGCCAUGACUAGAUUAUAUGAUCAAGAUUAUGCUAGGUAGCAUUCCACAUCAAAAAUUAUCUUUUUUAUCAUUUACCUACUCGAGGACGAGCAGGAAUUAAGAUUGGGGAUGCUGAUACGUCUCCAUCGUAUCUAUAAUUUUUGAUUGUUUCAUGUCAAUAUUCUACAACUUUCAUAUACUUUUGGCAACUUUUUAUACUAUUUUUGGGACUAACAUAUUGAUCCAGUGCCCAGUGCCAGUUCCUGUUUGUUGCAUGUUUUUUGUUUCGCAGAAUAUCCAUACCAAACGAAGUCCAAACGUAAUAAAAACUUAUGGGGAUUUUUUUGGAAUAUUUAUGAUUUUUGGGAAGAAGAAUCAACGCGAGGCGAUGCACGGAGGGCCCACAAGCCAUGUAGCCACCACCAGGAGGUACGGUGGCGGCUGGCAGGCUUGUGGCCACUCCUUAAGGCGGUUGGAGCCCUUCUUUCCCCGCAAGAAAUAUAAUAUCCGGAAGAAAAUCGUGUUAAAAUUUCAGCCCAAUCGGAGUUACGGAUCUCCGGGAAUUUAAGAAAUGGUGAAACGCAGAUUCUGGGAGCGCAGAAACAGAAGGACACAGAGAGAGAGAUCCAAUCUAGGAGGGGCUCUCGCCCCUCCGCUGCCAUGGAGACCAUGGACCAGAGGGGGAAACCCUUCUCCCAUCUAAGGAGGAGGUCAAGGAAGAAGAAGAAGGAGGGGGGCUCUCUCCCCCUCUCGCCCGGCGGUGCCGGAACGCCGCCCGAGACAUCAUCGUGUGACGGCGAUCUACACCAACACCUCCGUCAUCUUGACCAACAUCUCCAUCAUCUUCCCCCAUCUAUAUUCAGCGGUUCACUCUCCCGCAACCCGUUGUACCCUCUACUUGAACAUGGUGCUUUAUGCUACAUAUUAUUAUCCAAUGAUGUGUUGCUAUCCUAUGAUGCCUGAGUAGAUUAUCGUUGUCCUAUCGGUGAUUGAUGAAUUGCUAUGAUUGGUUUAAUUUGCUUGUGGUUAUGUUGCUGUCCUUUGGUGCCCAUCAUAUGAUCGCGCGCGUGGAUCACACCAUAGGGUAAGUUGUAUGUUGAUAGGACUAUGUAUUGGCAGGCUAGAGUGACAGAAGCUUCAAACCUAGCAUAGAAAUUGAUGCAUAUGGGAUUGAAGGGGGACCAAUAUAUCUUAUUCUAUGGUCGGGUUUUACCUUAAUGAACGUUAGUAGUUGAGGAUGCUUGCUAAUAUUCCAAUCAUAAGUGCAUAGAAUUCCAAGUAAGGGAUGACAUGCUAGGAGAGGCCUCUCCCACAUGAUACUUGCUAUCGAUCUAGUAACGUAGUCAAUUGCUUAGGGACAAUUCCGCAACUCCUACCACCACUUUUCCACACUCGUUAGACACUCGUAUGUUUAUUUUUCUAACCAUCCCCUAGUUUUAUUUACUUGUUCUUUACUUUCUUGCAAGCCUUUUCUAUCCCUCCUACAAAGUACUUCUAGUUUCAUACUUUUUCUAGGUAAAGUGAACGUAAAGUGUGCGUAGAGUUGUAUCGGUGGUCGAUAGAACUUGAGGGAAUAUUUGUCCUGCCUUUAGCUCCUCGUUGGGUUCGACACUCUUACUUAUCGAGAAAGUAUACAAUUGAUCCCCUAUACUUGUGGGUUAUCAGUCUUCUACUUAGAAUCUUUUACACAUGAGAGAAGUUACAUCUCUAAUUGAUAUCCUCUUUUCUUUCACGUCCACCGUUGCAUUUCUUUUUCAGUUUUGGUGGCUUCGUGAAAGGAUUUGUCUUGAGUGCGUAUCUUAUUUUCCUACAUCUUGAUGCACUCUUUGGCCGUGAAGAUUAUUUUUCCUCAUGCUUGUCUUGAUGAGGGUUUUGCCAUUUCUAUUGGUAUCCCUCCUCUUGACAAGGUUCUUAUUUCCUAUCUUCACCAUGGGUUGUCACAAGCGUUGGUUCUUACUUUGUUUAUUAGUAAGCUUGUGAACUCAUUUUCUAGUAUGUGUGUGUGGGAAUGAUAUGUCUUGCACUUUGUUUCUCAUUUCAUCAAGACUAUGUUGAUGAGUAAUGCUCAUCCUUAUCUUAGUCUUCUCAAGUGUUUUGCCAUGACUCACACACAUUAUUUUGGUUGAGCCUAUUCUUAAGUUGCUUCCAUUGGUGUUCCAAAAGUACCUUACCAGAUUCCCGGAGAUGAAGAAGCGACCCUACCCCCUGGUAUGUGGCGCUUUCCUAAUCAAAAGAUAGGAGAGCACCCCUUCUCCCGAAGUUACGGGGUCUUUUACAUGUUGCUCAACCAAUUGUUUUGUGCAAGUGAUAUGCUUAUUGUAUCAUCUAUCCUAUUGCACUCGUUGUGUGUUUUUAUUAAUUUUGGGGGAGCAACGAUCCUAUUUUGUGCACUUGUAUCAAAUACAAAAAUAUCUUAUUAGUGCACAAAUCAUGGGGAGCUUCUCUAGUUUUGAUAAAACACUCUAUUGCCUUUAUCAUAAUAUCUUUUAUUCAUGUGGUUCGAAGGACCAUAUGAUUGUUUGUUCCAUCUGGUAUCUUUUGAUUGCUUGCCUCUAUUUUUGUAUGUCUUUGUGGCAUAAAAUUCUUUUAUUUGCAAUCUUUGGGUCCUCGAUAUAGUUCACUUUCCUCCAACUUCUUAUCAUUAUAUAUGUGUAUUUCUCUGCACUCAUUUGUUGAGAAGUACACACUUUUUGGAGGACCACCUACUAUAUUGGCUUUCUAAACUUUUCGCCCAUUUUGGCAAUCGAUGCCAAUGGGGGAGAAGUUUAGAGAGUUUACUUUGGAUAUGUUUAGAGGGUUUUGAUUUUAUUGCGUAAGCAUUUACUUCGUGCACGCAUGCAUUAUUGCUUUAUAUUUGUGCGCUUGGUUAUGCUUAUUUCCUUAUAUAAACUCUCUUGAAGUGGUUGUCAUCAAUUACCAAAAUGGGGGAGAUUGUUAUAGCAUAUUUCUCCAUAUGUGGUUUUGGUAAUUAAUGACAAUCCCUAUGGACUAAUGGUUGCCUUAGGUUAUAUUUAUAGGAUUUGUCCAUAGACACUUCUUGAAGUCCAUCUGUUGGGUUCAAUGAAUUUAUAUGAUGACCAAUGUAGUAUUCAAGGUGUUAUCCAAAGAAUGGUCAUAGAGACACAAGGUUGAUCAAGAACGUCAGACAAAGAGUAAAUAAAGAUGAUCAACACACAAAGCGUACAAGAUGUACCGAGAGGGAUCAAGUGAUCCCAUGGUAUGGUAAGCAUUGUACAUUACGUGUUUGUGUACUAACCCAUGGUCUUCGUGAGAAUUCUAUGUGGGGUUAGGUGUGUUUUCAUGGGCUUGCGUCUAGAGGAAGAUCUCAUACAACCCAUGAAGGAUGACGUCAAGUGGUGACCGUCAUUAAGAUUGCGGCGUGCAAGUUCAAGUGGAUUAGCACGAAGAUAUCAUGCUUGGAGUUUGCCAUCCAUUGUGCUGGCAAUGGACUUGUGGAGAUAUGUUGAAGAGAGGCUCACCUAUGUUGUGUAUGUGGGAGCAAUCGACUAAUCUUCAUCAAGCCAACGCAAUCAAGAAGGUGGUCCAUCUUGAGGAAGCCAAGAUCAUCGUCAUCUAGCUCAAGAGGACGAGGUGCAAGGUAUAGGUUUGCCCUUGAUAGGUUUUCUGUUUUAGGAUAGAUUGUCGUACUGUCAAGGGGGCUCUCAAGUGAGUAGCUUGAUCGUAUCGUUCGUUGAGAGCUCAAACCAUUUGCAUCCUUGCAUCAUACUUCUUGGUUCUUGUUGGGUGUUUCUCUUUGUGAGUUUUAGAGCUUAUGGUCAUCUUCAUGACAAGCUCGAGUUCAUCGAAAACGGAGUCCAUAUGCAUCUUCUAUGUUGUUUUCGAUAUUGGGAGUUUUUACCGGUCUUAUUCGAAGAAGGGUUCUCACCAUUUUCUUAUGGGCCUUUUCUCACUUGCUUCUUAUUGAUAUUUGUAUCAAGAUUUUGUUAGCCCAUGUCGUUAGCUUUCCAACAAACUUGGUGAAAGGAUCGAUAUGGUUGACUAGAGGGGGGGUGAAUAGGCAACGACCACUUUUUAAUUAAUCUUAGCAAGUUAGGGUAAAUAACAUACAGGUUCACAAAUAUAACAACAAUGGGAUGAACAGUAAUGAUGCUAACAACAAGAGCUACUCAGACAAGUAAGAGAUAGACAACAACAUAAGCAUUCACAAAGUAAAGGUUAGAGAUAACCACAAGUGGAACCAAUGAAGACGAGGAUGUGUUACCGAAGUUCCUUCCCUUUGACAGGAAGUACGUCUCCGUUGGAGCGGUGUGGAGGCACAAUGCUCCCCAAUAAGCCCCUAAGGCCACCGUAUUCUCCUCACUCCCUCGCACAAUGCAAGGUACCGUGAUUCCACUAUAGGUGCCCUUGAAGGUGGCGCCGAACCUUUACAAACAAGGUUGGGGCAAACUCCACACAAAGCUUGGAGGCUCCCAACAAGACCACGAAGCUUCACCACAAUGGAAUGUGGCUUCGAGGUGACCUCAACCGUCUAGGAUGCUCAAACACCCAAGAGUAACAAGAUCCGCAAGGGAUUGGUGGGGGAAUCAACUUUUCUCUUGGUGGAAGUGUAGAUCUAAGCCUUCUCAACCAAUCCCUAAAGAAUCAACAAGUUUGAUUGGCUAGGGAGAGAGAUCGGGCACUUUUGAGCUUAGGGAGCAACAAUGGAGCUUGGGAGGGUAAGAGAUGAGGUUCCACAGCUAGAAGAACCCCUUAUAUAGUGGGGGGGGGAUCCAACCGUUUUCCCACUCACAACCCGUACCUAGCGGUACUACCGCUGGACCCAUGGUAGUGCAUAAGCACUACCGGGCCAACCACCGCCAAGAAAGUCUUCGCAAAAAGGUCCGUCCAAGUACAACCGCUAGGAAGGCGGUACUAAGCUCCUGGAGCGGUACUACCGCUGACCAGGGGCGGUACUACCGCCAGCUAGCGGUACUACCGCUGGCUCUAGAGGUACUACCGCUAGCACUCCAGCGGUACUACCGCUUGGGCCAGCGGUACUACCGCUAGGCACAGCGGUACUACCGCUGAGGGACCAUUUGCCAAGAAGAGAAAAGCACAAAGGCGGGAGCCACUCCAAAGUUGUCGGCAAGGGGGAAAGGAGAUGAAGUGUGCGCGUGCAAAAUUGAUUCCACCCAAACCUUUCCACUACGGUUCCCCUCUUAAUAGUACGGCGUUCCUAUGACUCAAAUAAAGAGAAUCGUAGAGUACAUCGUGCUUCUAUUCCAUGAAAGAGGGGGCGAGUCAUCUUGUGCCGUUGACGCGUGUUAUCUGAAAUCUUAACACACACGGUUAGUCCUUUGCGGUACUGUCAUCAAUCACCAAAAUUACUUAGGCAUAAACUAUGCCCUAACACUUGGUUUCAUUGAAUUCGGAGUCUGUAUGCGAAAGUUAGAGCAGUUUCAGUAUCUAGAGGUAGUACCGCCAAGGCUAGAGGUAGUACCGCUAGGGUCUAGAGGUAGUACCGCCAGGGCUAGAGGUAGUACCGCCAGGGCUAGAGGUAGUACCACCAAGGUCUAGAGGUAGUACCACGAGGGUCAAUAGGUAGUACCGCCAGGGGCUAGAGGUAGUACCGCCAGGGGCUAGCGGUANGCCCCGAGCAAUUUGUACAGGUACCGGUGACUGCCCCAAGGGUUGCCAUUUGUACGGGUUCGGUGACCGCCCUCAAGUGUCCCUUAGUGGAAUCACAACAUCUUGCAUUGUGCGAGGGCGUGAGGAGAUUACGGUGGCCUUAGUGGCAUCUUGGGGAGCAUUGUGCCUCCACACCGCUUCAACGGAGAUUAGCAUCCGUAAGGGUGUGAACUUUGGGAUACAUCAUCGUCUCCGCAUGCCUCGGUUAUCUCUUACCCGAACCCUUUACUUAUGCACUUUACUAUGUGAUAGCCAUAUCGUUUAUUGUCAUAUAUCUUGUUAUCACUUAGUUGUUUAUCUUGCUUAGCAUAAGUUGUUGGUGUACAUAGGUGAGCCUAGUUAUUUUAGGUUUUGUGCUUGAGAAAUUAAACGUUAGUUUUAUUCCGCAUUUGUUCAAGCCUAAACCGUAAUUAUUUUAAAGCGCCUAUUCACCCCCCCUCUAAAAAAACAUUUUCUUGAAAAUUUGUUUGAAAAUCUAGAUCAUUUACUAAAAAACCAAAAACAUUUUCCAAAUUUGAAGAACAUUUUUUGAAAAUCCAGAGCAUUUUUUGAAAAAUCCAAAACAUUUUUUGAAAAAGAAAUAGAAAAUUAAAAAAAAUUCGGAACAUUUUUUCAAUUUUCGAAAAUUAAAAUUCAGUUUCUGGAAUUUUUUUCAAAAUUAGGAACAUUUUUUCAAAUUCUAUGUCAUUUUUUAAAAUUUUGGAAUAUUUUUUCAAAUUCUAGAACAUUUUUUCAAAUUUUGGAACAUUUUCUAAAUAUUCGGGACAUUUUUUCAAAUUCAGAAACAUUUUUCAAAUUCCGGAACAUUUUUUCAAAUUCCGAAACAUUGUUUAAAUUCCAAAAUAUUUUCAAAUUCCGGAACAUUUUAAAAAAUUCCUGUAUAUUUUUUAAAAUUCUGAAAUAUUUUUCAAACUCCGGAACAUUUUUUUCAAAUUCUAGAAUAUUUUUCAAAUUUUGAAAAAUUCUAGAAUAUUUUCUAAAAGUCCAGAACGUUUCCAAACACAAACAGAAAAAAAUAUAUAAGGAAAGAAGAAAAAAACCGAUUCGGGGAAUCUUCUAAAAAGUUCCCAAAACCGAAAUAAACCGGCUGAAAACUAGUAGAAGGUUCUCAAAACCGGGAUUUGAUGAAAGUGUUAACAGACCGGUCCAAACUCAGUCGCUCGCUCGCACCUCAUUUUUUUUCCUGAAUCGGGCUUUCUUCCUUUUCAUUAUAAAGCAUAACGGAAAUACAAAAUUUUCCUUCAAACCAGAGCAAGAACAAGGGAAAGAGGGAGACACUUGCACCUCAUGUGCGAAGCGGCAACUACUUGCCGCCGCAAUGAGCGGCGUAGAGGAAAUUUCGGAUGGAGAUGCUCUUAGAUAUAGGUAUAGAGAGAGUAGCAUCAAAGGAGAUAUACCGUGAGGCUGUCAGCCCAUUACUGCAAAGUGACCGAGCAGCCCGGCAUUGAAGAUGCACCGUGGACACGUCCGUUCCAGGUCAAAGCCCGUUCAAUCACACGUAUACACACACAGACUCUGACUCGCCGUCGUGAGCACGGCGGGGUGGUCAAACCGUCAGACAAAGGGAAGCCCUCUUCCAGCUCCAAGCCGGCAGUCUUGACUCUCGACAAGGAGACGACGCCACCAACCUGCCCACCACCCCCCUGUCCCUCUCCUUUGUCCUCUCAGAGACUGUAGGUACUCAAGUGUCCUACCGCCCACCGCGCUGUUCGAGCAAGCAUCCAUCACAUGGCGGCGAUCUCGCAGUUGCAGCGCAUCGCGGGGCCGCGCCAUGCCGGGGCGCCGCGGGCGGGGACUGUGAGGCGCGCGUCGGUCGCGGUCGCCGCAGGGAAGGCGCCGUUGCCGAGGCUGGAGGGCGCCAGCGAGGAGCUGAGGGCCGCGGCGGCGCAGAGCCUCGACUGGGCGCCGGCGCGCCGGCGCGUGCGCGCGGCCUUCGCGCCCGUGCUCCCCACGCUCGACCACUGCCUGUUCAAGGUCUCGUCUCUGCUCCCUGUCCCCUCUCCUGGGGCGGCUGUGUUUGAUCCUUUCACUAGCUCGUCAUGUGCUUGCUUCAGUAAAGGGUCCGAAUGGUCAAAAGUAGUCAAACAUAUUUCAACUCGCCGAGUAGUCGAGACUAGAACUCACAUCACAUGCAGUACCAUUUCUGAUCUGAAAUUACUCAUGAUUUCUGAGUGUGCGUGUUAUUUGUAUAGUUGUACUACUCGUGUCUAGGUUAGGGCAGUCCUACGCCUUAAUGCAAUAUGCAAAUGGGCAGAACUACACUUGAAUGCACAUUGUAUGUAGUUGCUUGAGCCACGAUCUUGUUCCAAAGGUGAUAGGUUCUGUAGCGUAUGUUAUCUGAGGGUUGCAACAUAUUUCGUCGGUAUUGUUGAUAUGAUCUCUGAAUAUUCAAAUGCGAUGUCGAUUGGUCUUUUCUUUCUCACCUUUUGUCUCCUACUUCUCAUUCUGUAGAUGGCGCCCAAGGGAAUCCAGAUGGAAGAGGUAAGCACAUGAUGGAGAUUCUGAAUUGACCUUCCCUUGUAUUCAAGCUGCUUAUAUUUGGUUCAAGUAGUUCCCUGGUGGCAAUGCAAUAUAUCUGUUGCACAAGUGUAUCUGUGAGACUGUGACACAAGUGACAAGCAUCUUCUCCUAUUGUAAAGCUGGUAUGAUGGCAUCUAUCAAAAGACGGAUAUCUUAAGCUAGUAAUAUCAGGUACAUGCCCAGGGAGUAUUGAGGAAACUAAGUAACUACAAGGAGCGGCAUGAUUGUGUUACUUGCAGCUAGCCUAAAAAAGAAACUAACAUUAGCAGGCACUUUGAAUCUUGAUGAACUGUUUUAUAGCUUCUUUUCCUUUGUGUGACAAGUGGUAGUGCCUGUUUCUGUAGAAUUUUGAGACCAACUCAAAGGGAGUUGAAAUAUUCUGGAAGAGUUGGCUGCCUAGGGAGGGCACUCCCACCAAGGCAGCGCUUUUCUUCUGCCAUGGGUAUGGAGAUACCUGCACUUUCUUUUUUGAAGGUGAUUACUCUUCUGUUAUGUUCCCUGUUGAGUUCUCUUUGCUUCACCUUUUUCUUAUCUAUAUCUUACUAGCUUGAAAAUAUCAGGGGUCGCUAAGAGAAUAGCCGCUGCUGGAUAUGCAGUAUAUGCUAUGGAUUAUCCUGGUUUUGGAUUAUCGUAUGGUCUUCAUGGCUACAUCGCAAGCUUUGAUGGAAUGGUGGACCAUGUCAUUGAACAAUAUGCGAGAAUAAGAGGUUUCUGAUGCAUAUCUCCUGUAAAUGAGGAAUAUAUCUUCUGUGGAAUAAUAUAAUAUUUGCAACAUAAUGCAAUGAUUUCGAAUGUUCAGGAAGGAAAGACGUGCAAGGGCUCCCAUACUUUCUCUUGGGGCAGUCAAUGGGAGGUGCGGUGGCUCUGAAAGUACACUUAAAGCAACCAAAAGAAUGGGAUGGAGUGCUUCUUGUUGCACCUAUGUGCAAGGUAAGUAAAGAACUCUCGAUGAAACUCAUCAAAUCUAGCAUCCCAUUACAUUCUCUUGUUUGGAGAUAAGCUGCAUUAUAAAACUCUAAAUGGAACUCAUCAGAUCUAGCAUUGCAUUACAUUCUCAUGUUUGGAGCUAAGCCACUGUUUAGUGUGUACAACCUUUCUGAUGGACUUAUGCUUUUGUAACUGUACUUUUUUUUUGCAUUUAACAGUCUCGAGAUAUGUUGCACUGUAAUUGAAGGAAUCUCUGGUUAAAGCUUGGCUUCUCAUCAACUAUAUCAUGAAAUGUUGCGUUGAGUCAGCACUUGAUGAUACUUAACUUAGUCAAGUAAAUUUAAAAUUUACUUGAAUAUACAGUGACAAUCUGCAGAUAUCCAUCUUUACUCCGUGUUAUAACAAUCAUUUAUGACCAUGCAGCAACAAAAUUUCAAAAUAAAGUGAUACUCCCUCUGUAAACUAAUAUAAGAUCGUGUAUUUGUCAACAAAAAAGUGCUAUGGAGGACCUCGUUUAUACUAUUGUUACAUGUAUUUUAUCUAAUGGCAUGGGUCAUUUCACCAUCUUUAUUACAAGGCUCUGACUUCUAUUUGGCAAGAUUUCAGAAGAUGUCACACCACCAGCGCCAGUGUUGAAGGCAUUGAGCAUAUUAUCAUGCCUUCUUCCAGAAGCGAAGUUAUUUCCGCAAAAAGACAUAGGAGAUUUGGGAUUCAGGGAUCCAGUGAAGAGAAAAUUAGUAAGUAUCUUGACCAUGUCCUUUUAUUUUAUUCAACUUGGUUUGUUUCAAUGCAAUGCAAUAUCUAGCAUGUAGCACAUUAUCCAAGUAGUGGCACCUGUCUUAUUUGUUUGUAUACUUAAUAAUAUUCCACAUUCGUUGGUUCAUUUGUGGCAAGGUACUUCGUAUUUCUACAUUUGCCCCUCUAGUGCACAUUUUUGUAGUAAUCAAAUAUUCUAUUGCAACAAUCAGCACACCUCUUUAAAAAGGAAUCGUACAACAUGGCUGGUUGAAAUACUGAAAUGCUAUAGAUCAUGAUCAUCUCUGUUUUCACUUCUCAGUGUGAGUACAACGCGAUAUCAUAUAAUGACCAGAUGAGGUUGAGGACAGCAGUUGAACUUUUGAAGGCUACAAAGGACAUUGAAUCCCAAUUGGAAAAAGUCAGUAUCAUCUGCACCUUUUUCUCUUGUACUCCCUCUGUAAAAGACUUUUUAGAUCACUAAAGUAGUGAUCUAAAAAUGUUAUUUGAGCAUCACCUGAAUCAAGAAGUAACCAUUGUCAUCUCUUCUUAUUCUAGAAGUACCUAAAAUGUAAACACUUCAUACAUGUUAUCACAGAUUUGUUCCCCAUUGCUGAUUCUUCAUGGAGCAGCAGACCUGGUAACCGACCCUCAUGUGAGUCAAUUUCUGUACGAGAAGGCCAGCACGAAAGACAAGACCCUGAAACUCUAUGAAGGUGCCUACCACUCUAUCCUCGAGGGAGAGCCUGACGACCGGAUUUCAACCGCCAUCAAGGACAUCAUUUCCUGGCUGGAUUCACACUGUUGAAUACCAUUGUGCAUGGUCUCGUUGAUCUGGACCAUUCUGUUCCACUUAAUAUUGGAUGAAUCAAAUAAUAAUACUCGGUGUCUGAGGACUUCACUUUUUUUUCUUUUUUCUUUUUGCAAAUGAGGCCUUCACUUAAUUAGUGAGCAUGAAAUUCUAUGCUGCUUAGUUUCAGGAACGUGUUGUAGAGAGAUUUUCUACCCCAUUUUCCGGAAGUCCGGUUUCACAUUUUCAUUAAUUUGUUAGCAGUUGGCUAUUUGAUGCCGUUAGCAGGGGCUAUGUAUUUGUUGUCUUCUUGAUCUUUGAUGUUUUAGUUGUUACUCCCUCCAAUCCAUAUUACUUGUCUUAGGUCUUUGAUAGCAAACUUCUACGUCAACUUUCUGACUAAAAUGAAUCUCUUAUUCAUAUGGCAUAAAAUGGAAAAUCUUGAUCGAGAUUUCUUCUCAAUUUCCAUGGUACAGUCCCUUUGCAUGCUACAGUUCCAUUACUUACUACCUGAAUUUGCUAUAUACGAAAUUCUGACAUCUACCGUAGGUGAAGGUAAUACUGAGCCGAAUAGUAAUGAGGGGAAUGCAAAAUCUAGCAAAGGUAAGAAGGGUGAAGGAAGAAUAGCAGUGACCUACAAAAGGAAAGCACCGAAUAAAAGGAAGGAGGCUCGUACUUAGAGUAUACAAGUCGUGAAAUUCCCCACUAGUAUAAAUAAAACUCAUGAAGACUUAUAGCUCAUUUGAGAGGACACUGUUGUGGGGUCAGGAAGAAUUGACAGCGACCGGGAGGAGAACUCAGGGUGUGAUACCCUAGCCAAACGAGAGAGGGGAUGGGGAGGGGAGGGGUGUUAAAAAAACCUAAAUGAUAACGUCCACACGUGUGGCACGAGACAACAUGGUGCAUACGUCUCUAUAACCAUUUAUCUUGCCACAUCAAACAUAUGACAUCAGCGGAAUCUUUUUGGUUUUUAGACUUAAAAAUGUUUUAUCUUUUAAAAAAUCCAAUUAAAAAUCCGUUUUCAUCAUUAAGUUCGUCCUGACAAGAUUUUUAAAACAAAAUCCCUUAUUGAUAUGUUUUGACGACUUUUUUUGGGGACUACAAUUUACCACGUGUUUACACUGAAGUUGCCAGGGUUUACAAUAAAGUUGACAUGACAUGUUUCAUCUAGUUUUCUUCUAGAUUUAAAGCUACCAUUUUAUUUCAACUACUUUUCAUGGUAAUUUUUAUUAAUUGGCCAUGGCAAUAACCACGACAAAUUCAAUUCAUGGAUCAUGGCAGCUUUUUGUAAUUCAUCAUGGCAAAUUGACUUUAUAGAUCAUGGCAAUUCUAGUAUUUUGAAAGAGAAAAACAUUUUUUGUAUGAACCAUGACAAAUUUUAGUGCAUGUAUCAUGGCAAAUUUAAGUAAUUCACCAUGGCAGUUUUAGUUUAUAGUUCAUGGCAAAUUUGAGCCAGUGACCAUGCAUUUUUAAAAUAACCGAUGACAUAUUUUUUUUACUUAUGAACCAUGUCAAAAUUAUUUCAUGGAUCAUGAUAAAUUUUAGUAAUUCAUCAUGGCAAGUUUAGUUUGUUAUUUUCCUUUUCUAUAAGAUGUCAAAGUUUAUUUUAAACGUAGAAUAAAAAGUAGUUAGAAAAUAUCAUGACAACUUCAAUGUAAUCAUGAUGACAAUUUACGUGUAAUAGACAUGAUAAAUUUUAACCUUCAAAAAGAAAUCGUCAAAACAUAUCAAUAUGAGAUCUAGUUUCGAAGAUCUCGUCGUGAUGGAUUUAACGGUUUUCCAACCUAAAUUUUUAUUUAAGAGAUAAACCAUUUUUAAAAAUAAAAAGACAAAAGAUUCCUAUUGACAUCACCACUUUUAUCAUUUGUGUAUACAUACGGUGACGUGACGCAACCUAUAAUAAUUGAGUGUGUGAGCUGUUGUUUUUCCUACCAUAAAUGUGGGCGUUAUCGUGACCCUAAAAAAAGAGGCUAGGGCGUUGUUUUUUCCCUCUUGGUUUCGGUUGAAAAGAGAAAUAUUAGGAAAAAAACAAAGCGAAAAAAUCAGCUUUGUUUUCAUCUAAAAAAACAGCUGAAACGGUUUCAACUUUAAGCAGAUCCUUUUCUUUUAUCAAAUAGACCUUUUUUCUAUAGGUUGGAAUGGCUUAUCAUACUUACCGCACGAUAAACAAAUCCUCUUUAAUACUCUCUCUAUCUCAAAAUAAAUUUUGUUGAUCUAGUACUCCCUCCGUUUCAAUUUACAAGUCCGACAUAUGUAUCUAGGUCGUCAAUUUGACCAACUUAAUAAAAGUUAUAUAUAACAAAAAAAUAUAUCAUUGGAAACUUUAGAUGAUCUAUUUUUUAAUGAUAUAAUUUUUAUAUUAAACAAUAUAUUUUAUAUAAGUCAUAUUAGCGAUAUAGAUACAUGUGCAUGCCUUCUAAACUGUGAAAGGAAGUAUAAAAUUUACACUAAUUUAAUAUUUUUUUAUAAAUUUGAGCCAUUUAUUUUGUGAUGGAGGAAGUAUUAAAUUUGCAUCACUUAUUCUAUAGGAUGAAGGGAAUAGUACUCCCUCCGUUUCUAAAUAUUUGACCAGUGGUCUAUAUACGAAGCAAAAUGAAUGAAUCUAUAUUCUAAAAUAUAUCUAUAUAUACAUCCGUUAGUCUACUAUUGGAAUCUGUAAAAAGACUCAUAUUUAGGUACGGAGCGAGUAGUUAGUAGAGGUAGAGAAAAAAAAAGGUUCUGCCGUAUGGUGUAAAGUAGUAUAAAAAUAAUCAAGUAAAGGGACACACCUGCAAAUACACACGGAACAGCUUCUUUCCCCUCCGUCUUCGUCUUCGCCGGGUCAGGUGGAUCAGCGGCCGCCACUGACGAUGUCGUCCCUCAACUCGCUCUUCAACCGCUCCUCCCCCUUCGGCACCAAAUGGUUCGCUUCCCUCUCAGAUCCCAUCACUGCCCCGCUUUGGCUACAGUUCCUCUUCUCGGUUCUCAUCAGCGAUCUAGGGUCGGCGGGUUUCUCGCGUGAUUAUUAGGAGUUGUAGAUUUAGAAUUCCGCUCAGGAAGACGUUCGGCGGAUGGUAUGUGUGGCGAUGGGGAAAAAGUAGCAGGCAUCUGGAUCCUUGGGCGGCGAAUUACUGUUGCUGGAUGGGGUAUAUUAUAGCUUCGUAGGAAAAUUUUGAAGUGGUAACAUGAUCCAUAUCAGGCUUAAUAUCGGAUUGGAAAAUCGUAUGCCUGUUUCGUUUUAUUCAUGACCUGUGUAAGAGUCACCAGAAUUGGAUUGACCUAAUAAAACUGAAUAAAUGGUUGUGUUAUCCCAACUGGAUCAUACCCGGUGGCUUUGCAUAACAAUUUACGGUUACGAUAUUGGAGUGCUAAUGAAAGAAGCAAUCGACUAUCACCUACUAGUCAGUUCUUAUCCUAAUCAUUUCAUGUUUCAUAUUGUACUUGCAAUUUUACUUUCAGUUUACGGUUCUUGCUUUGUUUAUACUUGUAAUUAACAGAAGUUCCCUACUUUGUGUAGCAAAACAUGCCUGAAUUUGAUCAUUUCGAGGAUCAAGCUGCUGCGCAAUAGGAGGGAGAUGCAACUGAUAAAUAUGCGCAAAGAGAUGGUUCAAUAUCUUCAGACGGGCCAGGAGUCUAUUGCGAGGAUUCGGGUAAAUUAGAUUUACAGCUAUAUAUGUUUCCCAUGGUUCCAGUCUUCUCCUUGAUGCAGUUCUCUAACAUGCUAUUAUUAAUAAUAGGUGGAGCAUAUUAUUCGGGAGCAAAAUAUAUUGGCUGCCUAUGAGAUUGUUGAGCUUUUCUGCGAAUUUGUUCUGGCACGAGUCCCUAUUGUUGAGGCCCAAAAGUAGGUCAUGAUUUAUCAAAUCUGAUCUUACUAAUAUACAUGUUACUAUGUAGAUAUCACGAUUCUUUGUUUCUCUCACUUACUAGAAUAUGAUUAACAGCUACUGAUUUUAUGAUGGAACAGGGAAUGCCCCUUAGAAUUGCGAGAGGCAAUAGCUAGUAUAAUCUUUGCAUCAGGAAGAUGCUCAGACUUGCCUGAGCUGAUGCAUCUCCGUAAUUUGUUUACCACCAAGUAUGGGAAAGAGUUUGUUGCUGCUGCUAUGGAAUUGCGCCCUGAUUGUGGUGUUAAUCGCACUGUAAGAAGAUCUCCAAUAUAUGUUUUCCUUCAGAAAUUGACGUUGUGUUGCGUGCGAAUCUAGCGUCUUGUGCAAUUUCACAAUUUGAGCAUUGUGUAUGCAGAUAAUUGAGAAGCUUUCAGUUAAGGCUCCAUCAGCGGAAUCAAAGUUGAAGGUUUUGAAAGCUAUUGCUCAUGAGUACAAUCUUGAUUGGGAUUCAUCUAAUACCGAAGCAGAAUUCAAUAAGAAAUACGAAGAUCUGCUGGUAAUAUAUGCUAACCUUUUGCUUUUCUCCUAAUUAUUAGACAUAAAUGGUAAUGGACGUGCUGUUUCGUGAGUGAGCUUUAAAAUUAUGUGUUCUAUCACUACUUCGUAAAAUGAAAUAAACUACCAUGCUGGAAGAACUGCUCGUUUUAACAUCUCGAUGGAUUUGACAUGGGUACACCGACGUUUUAAGACUCCUCAGUCCUCACCAGUGUUUCAGUUGAAUUUUAAAAAAAUUCUGUAUAUGUGCCCUUUCUGACAUAUGAUGGCAGAUACUGAGAAGCCUUUUGUGAUGUGCCCUUUCUGAAUGCUGGGUAUUCAUCCAAUUUUCUUUUCUUUAAAUGUAGUAUAUGAACCAAACAACACAACACUAGCAAUAUAUGAACAAAACAACACUAGCAUAACGGCAAUAGCAAUAUUUCAAUAAAUCACACCAUAAAGACAUGAAUACAUAAGUACUUUUGAUUGAUAAAGUGAUGAUAUCCUUCUUACGAUAUAACUGUGCGGUCGCCUUUUUGAAAGAGAUUCAUGACAUCUUCAUCCUUCACUUGAAUAAAAAAAUCUCGCUCAACAAAUGUAACCAAACAAUUGUUCAAAUAUUCAUCACCCAUUUUGUUCCUUAGCUUAUUC
rnacentral:lncRNA from 1 species